GUUAGGUGUGGAGAAGAAGUCUCAGAGCUCUUGGACCGUUCUGAAGAGGCAGGAAUUGAAGAAAUUGUUGAAAUCAUGAGUGGAUUUUCAAGAGAUGGUGAGGAAGCCUCCAACAUCAACAAGCUUCAAGCGAGGAAAGCAGUUAUGAGUAGGAUGUUGGUGAAGAGCCUGCAAGCUGGGGAUGCCGUGUUUGAGAGAAUAUCCCAUGCUGUUUAUUUGGCUGCAAGAGGAGUAGUGCUUGCAGGGAAUGGCCCUCAAGGAAGAAAAUUAGCAGAAAUGGCACUCCGGCGGGUGGGAGCUGUUGAUCUGACUGAUAGAGUGGUGGAAGCUGCUGAAAUAUCGCUGGCAGCAGCCACGGUGUCGGUUAAUGUUCAUGGGCAAUGGUAUACAUAUCUGACUGAUAACAUGUGAUUGGUUUGACAUGAAGAAGAAUGAAGUUAAUUACAAGGUGGAAAGAAGAAAAUAAUGCACACACCUGUACAUAGUAGUGGGUGUACAUUUAUGUUUUAAGUAUGAACACAGGAUGGAGGGUUGUUAAUAUGAAGAAAUAUUUCAUGAAUAGGAGAGGGAUGUUGUAAAUAAUAUUUAUAACUGAAUUGAAUGUUUCUUUUCUAUUCUGAUUAAGCUCCCUUUAUUUUCUGUCCAGACUCCAGAGAAAUAAAGUCUGUCUGUCUGUCUGCAUGUCUGUUAAUAACAUUUGGGAUAUAAAUAAUUGCUUUGAUGUUUCAUACGCUAAGUUUCUCUUUCAUUUUGCUACUUGUGAUAUGACCUAUAACCAAAAGUUCUUAGUUGUUAGAAUGGAUUUGGUUCAGGUAAGGAAGGAUGGAAACAAGCAAAAGCUUGUGUAAUCUCUGUAAAUCAUUGGUAACAUAGUUCUGGAAAAUCCAAUUGAAGUAAUGUUUGACCGCUUUUUUGUGGAUUAGGUACCUUAGAAAUGAGAACUUGCACAGAGGAGUGAAUUUUGUAUUGCAUGAAGAGAGUGAAUAAGCUCAACAUAACACCAUUCUUCAUUCCUUUACAAAAUUAGGAAGUUUAAAUGUGAAUGAAUCAACUUACAGUAUUCUUCAUGAUGUAUGAAUCUUUCUGCGAUAUAAACAAUGAGAACCAAGAUGGAAAUUGGAAUUCCUUCAAUGAACAGCAGCAACUUCCUCACUCCGGUGCUCCCCACCUUCCAUCCCCAACAAUCUUUGUCACGGUUUUUGACAAAUUAAAGCUACAAACACCUUAGCUAUUGAAAAGUAUAAGCCAAAAGAAAACAACCCUGUCACUUUCUGGUUAGCAAUAAGAUAUCAUACAUUUCAACCACAUAGAACCUACAAAAUGAUUUAAGAACACAACUUAUAAUUUGCAGAUUGGAAGGAUAGUCUUCAUGGUUGGAGAACAUACAAGUGGCUGUGAAUGUAUAAUUCUUGAAUAGAGUUGAGAAGUGUAUGAAGAUAUUAGGAGCUAUGUGAUUGUUCGUAUAUCAAGAUGGUCUGUGUCUUUGCUACUGUCUUCCAUGGGGAGAGCCAUGGGGUACUCAUUUCCAAAUGUUCAGUGAGAAAAUCAAAUUGAAAGCCUGCAGUGAAUAUCAAUAAAUUAGCCUAUGGAGAAUUUGAGGCUCAUGAGUAUAUAUCAAGAAGACAAGUCACUUAUUAUACCUGGAGAGCUGCUUGGCACCAUGUCUUAUGACCAUAGGCAACAAGAACGUCAAAGUUAAUUUGUGUAUAAGGACAUUUGAGACUAGAACUGACAAUUCAAUCUUAAUAUUGAAGCACAAGAUGUUGAACAUCAACUUCUGUGAAGGAUUAGAGUUUAGGGCAAGUAGAUAUGCCCUUAAAGGAACAGUUAGAUGUCAAUCACAACUGACCUGAAAUUGGCUAGAUCGAAAUGGUACUUCAAACACAUAUUGAGAGGUGCUUUGACUUCUUCUAUGUCUCUGCCUUACAAGGAAGAGAAUACUUCAAAAAAUCCACAUAAUCAUUGGUAAGUACAAGAAGACCCCAAUAUUCUGUGUCUGUUUUCAACUGCUCUGUUGGAAGAAAAAAAAAAAGGACAAAACCCCUCUAAUUGAAGGAAGGGAGCAAAGUAGCAUAAGAUGCUACUUUCCCAUGCCAGUCUUUUGUAUUAUGAAGCUUUGAACCAUCUCAACCCAAAGGAUAUCCAUCAAUCUAAUAGUUCAUCAUGAUUUGCAAAACACAGGUUUGCAUGCAACAAUGACACUAAACAAUAAAGAUUGAUGCUAGUUUAGCUUAUUAGAGAACAAAGGACUACUGAGUCAGACAUCUGUUUUCCAUUGGAGAUGGUGCCCUAAUCAAGAAGAUUAAAGGGUGAUUGGAGUUGGAAGUGUCAUAAUCACCUGAAAGAAAACAAUUGCAAAGACAUGGACAGAUGCACGUAAAAUGUAUGUAUCCAUUAACAAAUGGUUAAUUGAGAGGAAGACAUCAUUUUUGAAACCAAAAGGAUUUCAGGUUUCUUAGCUUUGGUAGUAACACACCCAAGAUCUCCUUGUUUAAUACAAAUCAUCUUCCUAGAACUAAAACAGCAGCAUCCUCAGACGCCUUUGCAGAAGCUCUCAGCACCAGUUAAUGAAGGUGACUCAUGAGGGAUGGUCAAAGGGCUGGCUGAGAUAUCUGAAACAGAAGACAUGUUUAUUAUCUGUCUGUGUACAAUGGGAAUUCCUUGUAUUCAGGAUGUCAAAAUCUUUCUAAACAUCCGACUCUGCAGAUACAAACAAUGGGAAUUCCUCCAAUGAGAAGCACAGGAACAUUGUCAAUUCUAAGAAAAGGAUCCUGUUUCUGAAUAGGAUACAUGACAGUGAUCUAAGUAAUCAUCCCAACAGCAACAUGAGACAGAAGACCUAAUAAAAACCAAAACAAGAACAAAAUGACAUCAAAAUUAGGAAAGAAAUAAAUGCAGCAAAAUCAUAACAAAGAUGCUAUAUUCCUGUAUCCUUGCCUUAGGAAUGUAACUAAUUGGUGAUCUCUCCCUUUAUGCAAGCAGAAGCACAGGAAACACCAUCUCUGGUAAAAUGCUGACUGCCAAACCAAAAUAGAGCAACCUCAGCCAAACAUGACCUGACUUGACCAAUUCAGUACUAGAAACAUAGAAGCCAUUGUAGUAGUGUACUUGUCAUCUCUCUGUUUAAUAUCAGUUAAGUUUUCAGGCACUGAAAGAGCAGAACCUUCCUCACUCCACCUUCCAUCCCCAGCAACCUUUGAAAUAAUUUUGUUACAAAUUAAAACAACAAAUGCCUUAUUUAUUGAAAAGCAUAAGCCCAAAGAAAACAUACCUGUUUCUUUCUGGUUAGGUAUAAGAUACCACACAUUUCAACCUCAUACAACCUACAGAAUGAUGUAAGAGCAACUUGUAAUUUGCAGAUUAUGAAGAGGGUCUCCUCUGUUUUACCAUCAGAAAAUGGACCAAAGCAAUCAAAAUAUUUCUGUAACCAUAAAUUAGCCAAAAAAAUGUGCCCAUGUAUGCUUAUGUAAGAGAAAAUUAGAAAUCAGCCUUGCCAAUUGGAAAGGUAACUUACUUGAUUCAUGGAGAGUAUACAAGUGACUUUGUUUAGUAUGAGCUACCUGGAUUCAAAUAUUUCUUCACUCUUGAUAUCUUUGUUCCUGAUUUGUAGCUUAAUAAGAAAAAUGAAAAAAUAAGAAUCUUAAACCAAACAAACAGAGCAUAAAAUUGACUUUUGUUAAUGUGUAAUUCUUGAAUAGAGUCAAGAAGUGUAUAAAGAUUCUUAUGAUUGUCCAUGAGUAGAACUAUUAUGAUUGUCCAAGGGGAGUUGAACUUGGGUGUUGAAAAUUACCAAUGAAAGAGUCGAGGGCAUGUAUCUUGGCUGUUGUCUUUCAUGGGGAGUCAUUGAAGAAAGAUCAUUGCCAAAUGUCUAGUGAGAAAAUCAUAUGGAAAGCCUACAGUAAAUGUCGAUAAAUUAGUCCAUGGAACAGAAAUAGAGGCUCAUGAGUUUAUUUAAUAAAACAAUUCCCUUAUUAUACCUCAAGAACUGAUUGGCACAAUGUGUUAUGACAAUAGGCAACAACAUCUUAAAAGUUUGUGUAUUAGGAGACUUGAUACUAGAACCACAAAUCCAAUCUUAAUAUCUUGCAGCACAAGAUGUUGAAGAUCCACUUCUAUCAAGGAUGGAGCUCAGGACAAGUAGACGUCACACACAACUGAACUGAACUUGGCAAGAUUGACAGUUCCCAACGACCAGAGCUUAGAGGUGCUUUGACUUCUUUCUUCUGCAAGUACAAGAAGACCUCAAUAUGCCGUAUCAUGACGAUGUAAGAGUGAAGGAAGGGGGUAAAGUAGAAGACAAGUGGCAUCAAGUCAAAAGAUGAGAUUUUGAGUUUGAGACACUAGGCAAUUCCAUAUCAACACAAAUUGGACUUAAAAUAGUGACCGAAACCAAUUGAAUAAUAGGCUCUUUUGGAGGGAUCCUUUUUCUAAUUUCAUAAAUUCUCAGACUCUAAUUCUAUUUCAAAUAAGUCACAAAUCUAAUUAUUUCUAUUUACUUGAUAUAUUUCUCAUUAUCAAAACAAAAAUAUGUUUCUUAUAAGAAAUCAUUCAUGUUCAUCCUGGUUACUUAAUGUGAGUCGGAGAGGAAAAACGAUGAUUAACUUGAUAUGGAAGGGAGAAAAGAUACAGUAUCUUGAUUCUAAUUCAACUCCUGUGAAAAGAUAACUUGCAAAAGGAUCAAAAUAAGUAUUCAUAUAAUUCAAAAUUGUUUACAUGCAAUAGUUAGACGUAGAGCCUAUUUGUGAUGCAAGUAAAAUUGCAAGCACAUUUCAUCAUAGACAUGGAUAGGCAAUACCUAAGGUAUUAGAAGAUGUACGAGUGUUUAAAUCAUCGGUAUUCCACAGAAAAUACAUAAACUUGCAAAACCUUUUUAGUCAUUCAUGUAAUUUAGAGGCCCAAUAAGGUUAAUAAAGUCAUCAAAUUAAACCUUUGGUAAUGAUACCUUUUUGUUAGGCAUUGCCUGGCAGAAAGUUGUAAGUAUGGCAGAAAGUUGAAUCUCCAUUUUUAAGGAUGGAAAAGGGAUCAAUAAGUACAAAUCUAAAGUAGGCCACGAAAAAGAAAUAAAACAAUUAAAAUGUUCAACUGACCAUAAACUACCAGAAAUUCGUCCAUGCCUGCCUGUAUCACAGAAAUUCAUGGAUAAAUUCAGGAAUCACCUCUGCCCAUUAUAAAGGUAAAUUGAAUGAGCCAUUGAAAUAUUUCAAUUGUCUAUGUUAAAAUGCAAGUACCUAUUGUCAGUCUUCCUCCACACCUCUUCACUUCUUUGUUUUCAGUCUUGUAGCAUAAGAGAAAAAACCUGAAGUCAAAGGGCAGAGUAUUUUUGCACACUCAAAUCUCCAACAACAGGGCAGCAAAAAUUGACGCAGGCCAUAUUGCAAAUUUCCAAUGGAAUAGUCUCAGAAGUGUGUUUGCUGCUGCCUUUCCAGGGGGAGACUCAUCAAAUAUUGUUUCAUUGGAAAGAUUAUAGUCAUAUAUCAAGAACACAAGUCUCUUAUACGUGGAGGGCUACUUGGCACCUUGCCUGCCUGACCAUAGGCAAUGGAAUCUUACAAGUUUGUGUAUAUUGCCACAAACUUUUGUUAACCUGAGAAACAUAAAUAUAUUAUCACAAUAGAAAUGAUUAGAAAUUCAGACGCACAUAAAUAUUGGCACAUUGGUCUUUUUGUUUUUUUGGAGUGUAGAACAAGUACCUGACUGACUGUAUGGCACACCCAAGUCAUUAUGUAUGUGGAAUCACCACCUUCAUUAGUCAUUAGUAUAGCACACGAUCUAUCACUAUGUGUGGAAUGUGAGCUAUAUAUUCCCAAUCUUGGCCUUUCUCAAAUUGGCAUCUACACUCUAGCAAAGGACAACCAUAGAUUUUCAGCCAAGAGAGGGAGUUUGGCAGUCUCUCUUUUGUCAAGUAUUGGAGCUGAUCGCAGUCAGAGAUAAACAAUUUUUUAAGAGAGGUGAGGUGUUGAAGACCUACUUCUCUCAAGGAUUCGAGCACAGGGAGGAAGUCCAUCUCUAACUCUUCAAGAGAGGUAAGAUGUUGAAGCCCCUCUUCUCCGAAGGAUUGGAACUUACGGCAGUUGGAGAUGUAUAAUGUUGUUAGAGAGGUAAGAUGUCGAAGCCCGUUGCUGUCCAGAGACUUGAGAUUCGGAAGAUUAGAUAUGUGAAGAGAGGUAAGUGUGGAGGGCAGUAGGGACUCAUUGGGAAAUGAUUCCAUGUCUCGGCAUCCAUCAUUGAUUCUGAAUUCUGUAAGAGAGGACAGUCUUUGCAAACCCCAGUCCACCUGAGAUGUGAGUUGGUUGCAGGAUGAAAUUUCAACUUCACGUAGGUCGGAGGGCAAACCAUCUCUCUGAAACAACAAUUCUGGACAAUCUAUUAACCUCAAUUCCUGCAACGAUGAGAGCGUGUGCGCCAGCAACUUCAGCUUCCUGCAUCUGGAGAUCUCAUAGUUUGCAGACUCGAGAGCGGGCAAUUCAAUAUAUACAAGAUCAGGGCACCGAAUGAUUUGAAAACUAUUAAGAGAUGUGGGAUCCCCCUCUGAAACGGAGAUGGAGAGGAAUUCAAGCCCUUCGAAAUCAGAGAUGUUGAGACUGUUCAACCGUGGGAAGAUGCUUAAUGAGAAAGAUAAUGAGAAAGAAUUACGGCUGCUAACAUCACAAAUGGAUAAACUUUCAAGGAAUGGAUGGUGGGAUCUCAAUAGCGCAUGCAGGAGAAACUCCAGUUUGUUACACUUCGAGAUACGUAGUGACUUCAAUGUAGUGGGGAAACCAACACUGUGCAAGGGUCUGGAGAAACGACAACUUGUGAUGCACAAAUGUUGGAGAAGACAUGUGCUUCUUUGUAGCAUUCCCUCCUCCAAUACCCACUCUAUCGAAUCACAUUCUCUAAUGAAUAGCGUCUGUAUUCGUGGUGGUAGUUCCUCCAAUUGAGAAAUGUCUGAAAUUUCAAUUACUGAAGUUUGGAGAUUAGUGAACCCACAAGCUGGCCUUUUCAACCGAAAUUUACCAGAAUACGACAUUUUCCAUUCACGGAUUUGAGGAGCUCGGAGGGAGCCCACAAGCAACUCACAACCAAUGAUUUCAAGUUUCUUCAAUGAACGAAGCUGUUUUGGUAAUUUCCCAGUGAGUUUGGGAGAUUCAUUUAUGCAAAGCUCCUGAAGACGAGGGAAUUCUCCACGUCUGCAUCCACAACAUAACCAUUUCUCCCAGUUGUACAUCUUCUCGAAUCUUAGAGUUUGUAGGGACGGGAAGGAGGGCUCAAUUGUGUUGGAGGAAGAAGCAUUCCCAUAAAAUUCACUACCCACCAUUUUAACUCCUUUCAUUUGUAAGAUAGAAAGAUGUUUAAGAGAGGGUAGCUGCCCGAGUGGUGGCAAUGAUGGACAAUUGUUACAAUUGUGAAGCUUCAGGUAAACAAGAUUGAAGAAUGAAGGAUCUCCUACCCAAGCUGGAAAGCUUAAACCACUAAAAGAAUAAAUAUGGAGUCUCUUGAGGUUUGUAUGUGGCUGUAAGCUGCUGAGUAUAUCCCUUCUAUUUUGCACAACAACACCAGCAUCGAUAUUCUUGUAAUCCCACUGCAACUUCAACUCAUCAAGGUACUUUUUAUCCUUCAUAUUAGCUUCUAAUGCAUCCCUAUCACAUACAACAUUCUGCAGCUUUGAAAUGACAAGACUUCCCGAAAGCUCCCUCAAUGCUCCCAAUCUUAACCCACCAUUUUGGCCCACAAUAAAUGUAGAAAGUGAUUGUAAAUUCUUUAGCUUACAUAUAUCACUUGGCAUCUCUUUCACUGAAGAAGUAUAACGAAUAUCAAGGUAGCGCAAAUUAAUCAAUUUUUCCAUCCUUGAGGGUAAUUCAACGAGAUAAUCACAUCCCAAUAACAUCAUUGUUUGUAAAUUGUAUAAGUUACAAACCGAUUCAGGCAACUUUUGAAUCCUUGUCCUAGAGAGAUCCAAGUAGCGCAAGUGUUUCAACUUCUCAAUCGAAUGAGGCAAAUCAGUAAUAAGAUAACCAUUCAAACACAACACUCGUAAACAUUUCAUUUCUGGCAAUAUAUGCUGUAAAACUCUAUUACUCAAGUAUGUAUAAUAAUAGUUUCUUCUUGGUAAAAAUGUUCGGAGACGCUUCAUUUGAGGAAGUGUGUCAAAACUCUCAUAUACAUCAAAUUCACUAAUCAAAUACGAUAAAUGACGAGUUUUCUUCGAGACUCUGUAUAUCUUACCAUCCUCCAAAGAAACAGAAAAUUCUAUAGAUACCAAUUGUGCCAAGUCAUUAACAAGGUCGUGCAUUACAAAACAUGACUCAUUACUUACUGAAUUUUGGAAAAAUGACUUUGAUAGAAGUUCUUCAAAGUACAAAUUGCCUACCUCCUCCGGUCUUUUCUUGCUUUUUGAUUGUUCCAACAAACCUUCUGCCAUCCAUAACAAAACUAGCUUCUCCUUUUCGAAUUUGUAGUCUUUGGGAAAGAUUGAACAAUAAGAAAAACAACGUUUUAGAUGUGAAGGCAGGUAAUAAUAACUCAACCUCAGAGCAGGAAGAACCGCAUCUGUGGGCAAAUCCCAUAAUUCACUGUUUAAUACAUCAUCCCAUUCUCUUGCUUCAACCUUGGAGUGUAAGAGACUCCCCAUUGCUUUUAUAGCCAGCGGUAGACCUUGGCACUUGUGGACAAUCUUUUCUCCGAUUGCUUCUAGUUGUGGAUGCCCACUUGAGUCUCCAUUUUCAAAUGCAAGUUUUUUGAACAGGGACCAGCCAUCUUCAGAGGAUAACCCACCUAAACAAUGAGUAUGGACUGCACGCAUGGCAGAUGCAACCUUGGUGCUUCUCGUAGUUACAAUAAUCUUGCUUCCCUUUGCCCCGACUAUGAGCGGAGUUCGUAGCGUAUCCCAGUCACAAGAGUCUUCGUUCCAAACAUCAUCAAGGACAAGUAGAAAUUUCUUCAUAUUAAUUCUCUCCUUCAGUUGAACCUGAAGUAGAUUUAGAUCAGUGGUAUUGGACGUGGAUGAAUUGAUUGCCUCGAGAAUUGUUUUCGUUACUCUGAUAGGAUCAAAUUCUUCGGAAACACAAACCCAUGCCUUGAGAUCGAAGUGUUCCUUCACCCUUUGGUCAUUGUAGAGAAGCUGGGCAAGUGUGGUUUUGCCUGUGCCACCCAUGCCGACUAUGGAGAUCACACCCAUCGCAUCAGUACUCCUUGCAUUAUUGCACAGCAACAGUUGAACCAUCUCCUCCUUAAUUUGAGCCCUGCCAUAGACAAGAGAUUCAUCUACCAAAGAAGUAGAAGGCCACCUUUGUGCCAAUUUCUCACCAACGCCUUCUUUCAACCCGAGGACGUCUCUGUCUCGUGCCAUAUCUUCUAGUCUAUCAAUGAUCUCCUCCACCCUAGACUCUAUGCCCUGACCAUAAAAUGGAGCGAGAACCCAGGUUGACAUGUCCAUGAUGUUACCCACCUGACUUGUGCUGGUUUGGGACUCCGCAGCUUCCACCUUGUGUCGCAAAGCCUCUGUGGUGAUCUCAUCCAAUAUGUCCUCCGCAUCAUACACGGCCUCUUUAAGCAAGACCAGCCACUUCUUCACAUAUGGAUUUGUAAAUUGUUUGACCUCAGCAUCGUUGAGCACUGCAUGGACGACCAGCAACUUCCUUUCCAACUUCUUCAGGAGCGCAUCGCUGAGCUUCUGCCCCCGGAUGAAGCUCACAACCUCGCGAGAAGCCAACCUGUCAAAUAGAACAUGGAGAGAAGCUGAGAGAAACGCACCUCCAACUAAAGCCCCUGCCAUUUCUGUUUCUCUUGCAAAGGAGGUGAAAGAUGAAUCGAGGGAAGAAGAAAGCAAGCAGACCCAAAAUGAAACCUCCAAACCAGAAAAAAAAAUUAUAGAGAAAAUCCAACUUGUUGACGGUAAAGGAACUUUGGAUUCCAAAGUUUUCAUGGUAGACCCCCCCAUAUGCCAGCUUUCUUUGCCGACAACAAACUUCAUUGGUCAAUAUAUAGAAAAUGAAAAUUUGAUUGAAGAUUUUCAUCCUUCGUACAUGAUUUUCCUUCUAUUGUGAUAAAAACGUAGACUUAAUUGAAGCUUCAUGAAAGCCAUCUUCUGACUUUUUCUGGAUUUCAUCAUUGAUUAAAUGAAAAGUUUUGGUUGUAAAUCAAGGUAUUUUGAGAAUUAAAUGAGAUUUAUAUAAAAAAAUUUAUGAAAAUUUACUUUUAUUGUGUGCUUAAUAUAGGUGAAACUAACAAUUUUUUAGGGUUAAUAUAAAUAUUUUUCUCGUCAGAAUCAUCAAACCAAAAAAAGUUAUCAGGUUUUGAUUUGGAUUUAAGGGUUAAAUCUUGGGGGAUCAUGAUUAAAGAAUGAUAUUAUAAAUAUAUAAUUUAUACAUCAAUUAAAAAUAACUCACAAAAAUUAAAAUUAUUUGUAAAUAUUUUAAAUAAUUGAAAUAUUUUACCAUUUUAUGUUUAAUAUUAUUAUAUUAAAUUGUGAUAAGAAUAAAAUAUAAAUUUAUUAAUAUUUUUAUUUUACUAGUUACUAAAAAUAUUGUAUUUAAUUAUUGAAAGAAUGUAUUAUAUAUAAAAAAUAGAAUAAGAUUUUGAUAUUUAUUUUUUUCAUUUUAUAUUUUAUAAAUCUUGUUAAUAUUUUAGUGUGAAUAUAUACAUGAAUAUCCAAUAUAUUUAUUUUAUAUAUAAAAAAAAACCAUGUUUAGGGGAAAAAUGGAAAUGGUUGGCACUUUUACAUUUAAGGGGAAAGCAAGUGGAGGCAACGUAGUUUGUAUCUUUUUUCUAUUAAAUACAAAAAAGAGGUACAAGAACCUAAAAAAUAGAAGAAAAAUAACAAAAAAAAAAAAAAAGACGCAACAGUUGGGAAAAGGUUGGUCUAAUUCUUAUUUGACCAACCAAUUUGAACUCUUAGACUUGCUUAAGCUUUUAGUAAAUUGAUUAUUCAAAAUGGUAUCAUAACUUGAUUUGAUAGGAGGUCUUAUUGAUAGGAGGUGUUAAGAAUAUAAUAUGAAUAUUAAACCCAAAUCGUAUAAAUUUAAUUUUUAGGGAAAUUGGUUGUUUAACAAGAUCGAUGGUUCAAGUGGUCCACUAGGUAAAAUUGUUCAAUUUCUCAAUAGUAGGAUGAUUGGUCGAUAUUCCAACAGGUCGAAUUAUCCAAUUUGGUUCAAUUUUUAAAACCUUAAUUAAUAAGCAACAACAUACAAUUUCUAGAUGGAUUAUGAUUCUUUUAUCGAAUUUCAAUAGAAUCGUUAAUGCAUAAAGUUUUUUUAUAUAUAGAUACUAUGGAUUUGUUUGGCAAAUUUUGAAAAACAAUUCUUAGUUAUUUUGAGGAAUAAAAUUCUAUUUGAAAACUCAAAUAUAAAAAAAGGCUUUAUUAAUUUAUUUUUUAUAAAAGUAUUGUGCAUUUAUGUAUAAUUCAAAAGUUUUUAAAAUAUUUUACAUUUUUUCAAUUAUUACUCACAACUCAAGCAUGCACAAAAAAUAACUAAAAACAUCUCAAUUUUAUUAUAAAAAAGUUAUUUUUAGAAUACAUUCUCAAAAAAUUAUUUUGUAUAAAAAAUGUUCUAUAGAAAAAAAAUAAAAAUUCAAAAUCAUUAGUAAGUAAGCCUAUGCAACUGUGAAUGCUUUGCACAAAAUGAAAAAGAAAAAUGGUAUUUUUCAAUACCAUUUGAAAUCAUGAAAAGACCAUAACCUUGCAUACAAUAUAUGGGUCAAGGCCUUUAAAAAAAAAAAAAUCUUUUUAUUUGGAUAUCUAACUUGGGAUUCAAGGUUUAAUUAGGAAUUUGGUCAUUCAUCACCAUUUUCAUUAGUUGAAAUUCUUUGGUAGACUUGGUUGUUGACUUGGUAGUUCAUAUCAAGCCAUAUGGACUUCAGACCCACCCACUAGAUAUGAAUGAAAAUAAAGGCAAGUGGGGGUGGUAGGAAGACUCUUAUUAAUAGCUUUUGUCAAGUACUGGAGCUUAGGGUAGUUGUGGACCAAUGUUACUUAGGAUCUUAUCAAUUCUUGUUACUGACAGCUGGGGUUGUAGCUUAAGAAAAUAUCUUCAAUCAAACAAAUGAUACACCAGCAAACCCAAGUCUCCAACAAGAAUCAAAUUUCGCAUACCAGAUUUUCACCUUAUCCUUUCUCUAUUAUUUUUUCAAACAAAAAUUCCAUUAAUGUUAAAUUAUUAUUAAGUUGCAUAUUUUAGUUGCUUGAAUAUCAUUAUUUAAUAAGGGGCCAUGGGGUGUUAUGUAAUCCAAGUAGAAAUUAAUAAUAACUCUUUGUGCAAUUGUUUAGCCUACAUUUUUUUUUCUUUUUUCAUUUAGACAACACUUGUAGCAUCUUAAAUCCUGGUUUCCCUCAUUGGAUUGAAGUAGUUUUAGCAGAAAAUGUAAUGUGCAAAACCAUGGCUGCUACAUGUAACUCUAUCGAUAUAUCUAAAUCAACUAUUUUUUUUUGUCAAAGGUGAAAAAUGAUUAGUACUAGUACAUUAAAAUAAGAACUAUAUGUUGCAUAAGGAAAAGGUUUAAUAUUGCAACAUAUUAAUAGAAGGGCAUCAACUAAAAUUAUCCAUAUAUAAAGGUGUAUAGGAUUUUAUUAUGAUUCGAUCAAUCAUGCCUACCUUCACAGAUGCGAGAUAACAUUUCACAAUAUGAUAGAAAAUAUUACAGAGGAUACAAAUAAUUACAACUAUUGGAUUUCAAAAUAUUUCAAGUUUUCCACUCUUUGUAUUUUCAUUCUAAAUCAUGAGCUAUUUUGCUCCAUCCGGUGUCUCCCACUCUUCCUCGUAUCUACACCCUAGACCGUAAGGCCUCUUACUCUAUCAGAUGUCUUUUACUCAUUUUCACAUCUCUAUCCAUAAUAUGUAGUCUUUACAAACUGACCUCUAUUAUAUCUCUUCUCAUAACUUUUUCAACUUGAUCAUAACCUAAAAUAUUUAUAGAGAUACUCCUAUUUGCUUUACUUAUUCUAUAAAGAAUCUAAUUACGAUCACAUAUCAACCUAGGAAACAUUUUAUAUAAUAUUCCUUUUUGACCGCUGGAUUUGUAAUUUGCUUCGCCUUGGCAUCAUUGAGCACGGCAUGGACAGACAACAAUUUUCUCUUCAACUUCUUGAGGAGUGCAUGAUUGAGCUUGUGCCCCAUGAUGAAGUUGAGUACCUCGUGAGAAGCAAGUCUGUGAAAUAGAACUUGGAGAGAAGCUGAGAGAAAAACACCUCCAGCCAAAGCCCCAUCCAUGUCUGUUUCUCUGGCAAAAGGAAGUGAAAGAUGAAUCGAGGGAAGAAAGUAAGCACACCUAAGAUGAAACCUCCAAACUAGAAAAGAUUGGUUCAGGCGAAGUUUCCAAUGGUUGAAUGAAUUAUUGGACAUUGUGGUAGAGCCCAGACUUCUGCAUUGUUAUUGUUGACAAAACAUCACAGCUCAGUGGUCCACGAAAAGAAUACAAGGAGAAAGGAAGAAAAGGAAAGGGGACGUAAACGAAAGUCAUACAUGGAUAUGUGAACUUACAAAUCCUAUAUCCUUUUAUCAAUAAAACAGUUGAAAUAUUUUAUCAUUUUUAUAUUAAAUCAUGAUAAAAAUAAAAUGUAAAUUUAUUAAUAUUUUUAUUUUAUUAGUUCGUAAAUUAUAAUAUUUAAUUACUAAAAAAUAUAUUAUAUGUCAAGAAAAGAAGAAGUUUUUUUCUUUUCCUUUUUCUUUUUUAAAAUUUUACGUGAAUAUUCAAUAUAUUCAUUUCAAAUAAUUAAUGUUAUUAAAAAUGGUAUUUUUAAUACUAUUUGACAUCAUAAAAGGACCAUAACCUUGCAUACAAUAUAUGGGUCAAGGCCUUUUCAAAAAAAUAAUUUGUUUUUAUUUGGUCAUUCAGCACCAUUUUCAUUUAUUGAAAUUCUUUCGUCGACUUGGUUGUUGACUUGGGAAUUCACGUCAACCCAUAUGGACUUCAGAUUCCCCACCAGAGAUGAAUGAAAAUAAAGGCAAAUAUGAAAGGCAAGUGGUGGUGGUAGGAAGACUCUUAUCAAUAACUUUUGUCAGGUACUGGAGCUUAGGGUGGCUGUAGACCAAUGUCAUCCCGAAUCUUAUCAAUCCCUGUUACUGACUGCCGGGGUUAUAGCUUAAGAAAAUAUCUUCAAUCAAUCAAAUGAUGCAUCCGCAAAUCCAGGUCUCCAGCAAAAUUCAAAUCAUUAUUCACAUCACAACCUUUUUUGAACCUAUGUGCAAGCAAGGAGGCUGCUCGUGCGGUUAGGUGUUAAUGAAGGAUGAAAAUAUCGGUAAUCAUGGAUAUAUUAGUACUUGAAUUUUACGGAUAUAUUGAGAUAUAUCGACGAAUAUUUUGCCACAAAAUAUCGAUAGAUCAAAAAUUCAUCAAAACUUAUGAAAAUGUAAGAAAAAAACUCUUAAAAAUGAAAUUAGAAGUAUAAUAGACAUUUUAAAGUUGUUUUGUUGAAAAAUUAAUAUAUGUAUGAUAUGAUUUGCGAUAUUAAAUUUAAUUAUAUAGUGUUGACUAAUAAGAAAUGUGAAUUUUUUAAGUGUAGACUCAUUAUGAAGUUAAAUUAUUACAAAUAUACUAAUUAUAUAAUUUAAAUAUAUUACUAUAUUAAGUUAAUUUACUUACCUCUAUUGAAAAUAUAUUAAUUAAUUGUAAAAAUGUACUAAUUUAAAUUCAAUGUUAUAUUAAUUUAAAAUUGUAUUAAGUUAAUUUAUUCUUAAUAUACUAUUAUUACACUUGAAUAUCAAAAUAAAAUAAAAUUAUUAAUUUAAAACUAAAUUAUUGAAAAUUUACUAAUUAUGUUAUUUAAAAAUAUUUAUGAUUUUUAUUUUAAAAUAUUGGUACAUUUUGAUACAAAAUAUUUUUAUUUUAAAAUAUUGAUAAUUUUAUUUGUGAUUUUAUAUUUGUUUUAUAUUUAAUUAGUAUACAAAAUAAAUUAUAAGAUAAUUAAAGUUAACUUAUUUAUAAUAAUUUAAUUUUUUACCAAUUUUUCACUGAUAUAUUAUAUCCAAUAUAUCUUUGAAAUUUCAGCAAUUUUUUCCCAUUUAGGAUCGAUAUUUUGCUUGUAUCACCGAUAUAUUUGUGACACCGAAAUUUACCGAUAUUUCCAUCAGAUGAUAUAUCUUACUUAUAUAUUGUAUCCACCUUCUUCGAUACACUAUAUAUCGGCGAGAUAUUGCCAAUAUAUCUUGAUAUUUUCUUCCUUGGUGUUAACAGGGUUAGCCAAUUUGUUGAAUUUGUAGUUUAACAUCCACACACACAUUCUUUCCACAUCAUUUGAUGGCCAUUCAUAGAUUAUAUAUAAAUUUAGAGUACUUAGGAUUUGAGGGCCAUGAAGGGAAAAAAGACAGUGGUAAAGAAGGAAAAAAGUAGAACUGUAAUUAGCUUGGCCCUUGAGAAAUAUUUUUUGGUCACACUGUUCCAUCAUUUGGCCUGAACGAAAAUCCUCAAUAUGUCAAAGCUAUAUUGUACAAAAUUCCUUACAGGCUAAUAUUUGUUGACACACUUCUGCCAUGAAUACAUAAGCCGGUAGUGUUAGAGCUCUCCACAUUACUGAGACAGAUGGGCUCCUGUCAUGAAACAUUUGAUUUUUCCAGGAAAAGGAAAAUUUUGUCCUAGUUGAGUUCCAAUGACCCGUCCUUAUAUUUGCUUGCGCAAUUUUGGAGUUCAUUCUCUCCCUCCUUAAUUGUCUAAGAACUGAUGGAUGCUAAUCUUAAACCGUCUGGCAUUAGCCAACCCUAUGGAGAUGGAAAACAUGGUAGUUAGGUGUGGCGAAGAAGUCUCAAAGCUCUUGGACCCUUUUGAAGAGGCAGGAAUUGAAGAAAUUGUUGAAAUCAUGAGUGGAUUUUCAAGAGAUUGUGAGGAAGUCGCCAACAUCGACAAGUUUCAAGCGAGGAAAGCAGUUAUGAGCAGGAUGUUGGUGAAGAGCCUGCAACCUGGGGAUGUCAUGUUUGAGAGAAUAUCCCAUGCUGUUUAUUUGGCUGCAAGAGGAGUAGUGCUUGUAGGGAAGGGCCCUCAAGGAAGAAAAUUAGCAGAAAUGGCACUCUGGCGGGUGAGAGCUGUUGAUCUGAUUGAUAGAGUGGUGACAACUGCUGUAAUAUUGGUGGCAGCAGCCACAGUGUCGGUUAAUAUUCAUGGGCAAUGGUAUACAUAUCUGAUUGAUUUGACAUGAAGAAGAAUGAAGUUAAUUAUAAGGUGGAAAGAAGAAAAUAAUGCACACACCUGUACAUAGUAGUGGGUGUACAUUUAUGUUUUAAGUAUGAACACAGGAUGGAAGGUUGUUAAUGUGAAGAAAUAUUUCAUGAAUAGGAGAAAGGGAUGUUGUAAAUAAUAUUUAUAACUUAAUUGAAUGUUUCUUUUCUAUUCUGAUUCAACUCCCUUUAUUUUCUGUCCAGACUCUAGAGAAAUAAAGUAUGUCUGUCUGUAUGUCUGUUAAUAACACUUGGGAUAUAAAUAAUUGCUUUCAUGUUACAAUCAAAAGUUCAUAGUUGUUAGAAUGGAUUUGGUUCAGGUAAGGAAGGAUGGAAACAAGGCAAAAGCUUGUGUAAUAUCUGUAAAUCAUUGGUAACAUAGUUUUGGAAAUUCCAAGUGAAGUAAUGUUUGACCACUUUUUUCUGGAUUAGGUACCUUAGAAAUGAGAACUUGCACAGAGGAGUGAAUUUUGUAUUGCAUGAAGAGAGUGAAUAAGCUCAACAUAACACCAUUCUUCAUUCCUUUACAAAAUUAGGAAGUGUAAAUGUGAAUGGAUCAAGUUACAGUAUUCUUCAUGAUGUAUGAAUCUUUCUACUGAUAUAAACAAUGAGAACCAAGAUGGAAAUUGGAAUUCCUUCAAUGAACAACAACAACUUCCUCACUUUGGUGCUCCCCACCUUCCAUCCCCAACAAUCUUUGUCACAAUUUUAUGACAAAUUAAAGCUACAAACACCUUAGCUACUGAAAAGUAUAAGCCAAAAGAAAACAACCCAGUCACUUUCUGGUUAGCAAUAAGAUGUCAUACAUUUCAACCACAUAGAACCUACAAAAUGAUUUAAGAAAACAACUUGUAAUUUGUAGAUUGGAAGGAUAGUCUCCAUGGUUGGAGAACAUAUAAGUGGCUAUGAAUGUAUAAUUCUUGAAUAGAGUUGAGAAGUGUAUGAAGAUAUUAGGAGCUAUGUGAUUGUUCAUAUAUCAAGAUGGCCUGUGUCUUUGCUACUGUCUUCCAUGGGUAGAGCCAUGGGGUAUUGUUUCAUUGGAAAGAAAGAUCAUUUCUAAAUGUCCAGUGAGAAAAUCAAAUUGAAAGCCUGCAGUGAAUAUCAAUAAAUUAGCCCAUGGAGAAUCUGAGGCUCAUGAGUAUAUAUAAAGAAGACAAGUCACUUAUUAUACCUGGAGAGCUGCUUGGCACCAUGUCUUAUGACCAUGGCAACAACUUAAAAGUUAAUUUGUAUGUAAGGACAUUUGAGACCAGAACUGACAAUUCAACUUCAAAGUUAAUUUGUAUAUUGAAGCACAAGAUGUUGAACAUCAACUUCUGUGAAGGAUUGGAAUUUAGGGCAAGUAGAUAUGCCCUAAAAGGAACAGUUAGAUGUCAACCACAACUGAACUGAAAUUGGCUAGAUUGAAAUGGUACUUCAAACACAUAUUGAGAGGUGCUUUGACUUCUUCUAUGUCUCUACCUUACAAAGAAGAAAAUACUUCAAAAAAUCCAUAUAAUCAUUGCUAAGUACAAGAAGACCCCAAUAUUCUGUGUCUGUUUUCAACUGCUGUGUUGGAAUAAGAAAAAAAAAAAACCCUCUAAUUGAAGGAAGGGGGCAAAGAAGCAUAAGAUGCUACUUUCCCAUGCCAGUCUUUUGUAUUAUGAAGCUUUGAACCAUCCCAACCCAAAGGAUAUCCAUCAAUCUAAUAGUUCAUCAUGAUUUGCAAAACACAGGUUUGCAUGCAACAAUGACACUAAACAAUAAAGAUUGAUGCCAGUUUAGCUUAUCAGAGAAAAAAGGACUACUGAGUCAGACAUCUGUUUUCCAUUGGAGAUGAUGCCCUAAUCAAGAAGAUUAAAGGGUGAUUGGAGUUUGAAGUGUCAUAACCACCUGAAAGAAAACAAUUGCAAAGACAUGGACAGAUGCACAUAAAAUGUAUGUAUCCACUAACAAAUGGUUAAUUGAGAGGAAGACAUCAUUUUUGAAACCAAAAGGAUUUUUCUUAGCUUUGGUAGUAACACACCCAACAUCUCCUUGUAUAAUACAAAUCAUAUUCCUAGAACUAAAAUAGCAGCAUCUUCAGGCGCCUUUGGAGAAGCUCUUAGCACCAGUUAAUGAAGGUGACUCAUGAGGGAUGGUCAAAGGACUAGCUGAGAUAUCUGAAAUAGAAGACAUGUUUAUUAUCUGUCUGUGAAUAACUAGUGUUGAGCAAAAUGCCUUAGUAGCUACAAAAAUGCUGGAAGACGUGUGAAAGUUGUUUUUGAAUUGAGGAAGCUUAGGAAUCUGUUAAGAAGGCUGCUGAGGUGAGAAGAGAUGCUGAAAUUGAGGCUGCAACCAUAAAACAACUUAGUCAAUGAACCUGAUAGAGUUUCAUGGAGCUGUUAUGCUGCUGUUGCUAUUUUAUAAGAAAUAGCUGUUAGUUCCAGCUAUUUUUGCUGCUUUUCUAUUGUUUUCUAUUGCAAACUUGUGUAUAAAUGUUGCAUUUAUCAUUCAAUAAGAGUAGACAUUUUCGUUGUCUCAUAUACAACUUUUGGUUGUUGCUUCCAGCACUUCUAGAUUCUAAAACCAACAGAUUGGUAUCAGAGCCUUCUAUCUUAAGGGACCUGUGAGGAUUGAGUGAAGCCAAAAUACCUUCAAAUGGAUGGAGAUACAAGCUUUCUGUCAGUACCAGUUUUCAAUGGUGAUAAUUAUCAAGCAUGGGCUGUUAGAAUGACAGUCCACCUUGAAGCUUUGGAUAUUUGGGAGGCAGUAGAAGAAGAUUAUGAAGUACCACCACUUGGAGACAAUCAAAGUAUCAAUCAAAUGAAGAUUCACAGGGAAAGAAAAACAACGAAAGCGAAAGCCAAGGCCUGCCUCUUCUCCGCAGUUUCACCUUCCAUUCUCACCAGAAUCAUGCAAAUGGAGUUUGCUGCAGAAAUCUGGGAGUAUCUAAAAAAUGAGUACCAGGGGAAUGAAGGGGUGCAGAAUAUGCAGGUAAUGAAUUUAAUCCGAGAAUUUGAAAUGACCAUAAUGAAAGAGUCUCAAACUAUCAAAGAUUAUGUUGAACAACUACUUAGCAUAGCAAACAAGGUAAGAUUGUAUGGUAAGGAAUUUUCUGAUGAAAAAAUCGUUCAGAAAAUCUUAGUAACUCUGCCUGAAAAAUAUGAAGCCACAAUCUCUUCCUUGGAAAACUCUAAAGAUCUGUCAAGUAUAUCUUUGGCAGAAAUUGUUAAUGCUUUGCAGGCCUUGGAACAAAGGAGAAUGAUGAGACAAGAAGGAUCUGUUGAGGGAACAUUUCAAGCCAAAUCACAAAACAAUGAUUUCAGAAAAGACAUAAAGAAAAACAAGAAGAACAACAAGUCAAGCAAUAAUAAAAAGAAUCAGAAAGGAGCCCAUCCACCUUGCCUUCAUUGCAAAAAAACAAAUCAUCCUUCACAAAAGUGUUGGUGGAGGCCAGAUGUCAAGUGCAACAAUUGUGGUCAAUUAGGCCAUAUGGAGAAGGAAUGCAAAACACAACAAGAAUGAGAGAUCAAGGUUGCAGCUGCUGAUCAAUAUCAUGAAGAACAGUUGUUUGUUGCCACCUGUUUUUCCAGCAAAAACACGUCUGAAAGUUGGCUCAUAGACAGUGGUUGCACAAACCACUUAACUUAUGAUCAAGGGCUUUUUAAGGAACUUGACAAAACAACCAUUUCCAAAGUAAGAAUUGGAAAUGGGGAAUACAUCUUAGCAAGGGGCAAAGAGACUGUUGCCAUUGAAAGCCUCUCAGGUUUGAAACUUAUCCCUGAUGUUUUAUUUGUUCCUAAUAUUGAUCAAAAUCUCUUGAGUGUUGGGCAGCUACUUGAGAAUGGUUUCAAGGUGCUAUUUGAGGACAAGUUCUAUAUGAUCAAGGAUGGAAAUGGAAAAGAUGUGUUCAAGAUCAAGAUGAGAGGCAAAAACUUUGCCUUGAAUAUGAUUGAGGAAGAGUAGGUUGCUGUUUCUCAAGAAAAUAAUGUCACAGCUUUAUGACAUAAGAGAUUGGGGCAUUUUCAUCAUAAUGGAGUGCUCUACAUGAAGAAGAAUCAACUUGCAGUAGGUCUACCUGACCUGAAGCAAAAUCUUCCUACUUGCGUAGCUUGUCAGUAUGGAAAACAAUCCAGACUUCCUUUCGCACAGAAAUCUACAUGGAGAUCAUCACACAAACUGCAACUUGUACACACUGAUGUUAGAGGACCUCAGAGAACACCAUCUUUGAAGGGUAGUAAGUACUAUAUUGCCUUUAUAGAUGAUUAUACCAGAUAUUGUUGGAUUUUUUUCCUAAAUUUUAAAUCUGAGGUUGCUGAUGUAUUUUGGAAGUACAAGGCUCUAGUAGAAAACCAAAGUGGUGCCAUCAUACAGGUUAUAAGGACAAAUAAUGGCACUGAAUAUACUUUUGAAAGAUUCUAACAAUUUCUGUGAAGAAGCAGGCAUAGAGCACCAAUUGACUGCACCUUACACACCACAACAGAAUGGAGUGGUGGAGAGGAAGAAUAGGACUAUAAUGGAGAUGUCAAGAUGCCUUUUGCAUGAGAAAGGGCUACCAAAAAAGUUCUAGGCUGAAGCCGCAAACACUGUAGUGUUUCUACUGAACAGACUCCUAACCAAAGCUUUGAAAAAAAGACUCUUUUCGAGGCUUGGUUUGGAUAUAAACCUCUGUUGUUAAACUUAAAAAUAUUUGGUUGCCUUUGUUUUUGUUAUGUGCCUCAGGUGAAACGGGACAAGUUGGAUAAAAAGGCAGAAGUCGGGAUUUUUGUAGGAUACAACAGCCAAUCAAAGACUUAUAGAGUCUAUAUGCCUCAUGCUGACAAAGUCAUUGUUAGCAGAGAUGUCAAAUUCAUGGAGGAUGAUAAAUGGAGUUGGGAUGCUAAAAAAAAUCAGAAUUUUAAGUUUCUUGAUGAAAAUAUUGAUGACAUUCCCUUAAGAGGCACCAAAUCACUUUCUAAUAUUUAUCAAAGGUGUAAUGUGGCUGUGUUUGAGCCUGUAGGUUUUAAUGAAGCCGUUGAGGAUAAAAAAGGGAGGGUUACAAUGCAGGAGGAACUCAACAUGAUAGAGAAAAACAACACUUGGGAGCUAGUUGACAGACCAACACAUAAAAAGGCCAUUGGUGUCAAGUGGGUUUAUAGAACCAAACUCAAUUCUGAUGGUUCUGUAAACAAACAUAAAGCCAAGUUGGUUGUCAAAGGUUAUGCUCAAAUGUUCGGUGUGGAUUUUUCAAAAACCUUUGCACCUGUAGCAAGGUUGGAUACAAUAAGGAUGUUGCUAGUUUUGGAUACUCAAAAGGGUUGGAAAAUCUAUCAGCUAGAUGUAAAAUCAGCUUUUCUAAAUGGCUACCUUAAGGAGGAAAUCUUUGUGGAGCAACCUGAAGGAUUUGCAGUAAAAGACAAAGAAGACAAGGUUUAUCAACUAAAGAAAGCCUUGUUUGGCUUGAAGCAAGCCCCUUGAGCUUGGUACAACAGGAUUAAUGUACAUCUGCUUGGUCUGGGGUUUAAAAAAAGUCAGAGUGAAUCCACACUCUACAUUAGAAAAAUUGAUGUUGACAUACUUAUUAUUUCAUUAUACGUUGAUGAUUUGCUUGUAACAGGAAGCAAUCAAUGUUUAAUGGAUAAAUUCAAAGCUGAAAUGGAGGAGGUCUUUGAGAUGACAGAUCUUGGAGACAUGUCUUAUUUAUUGGGAAUGGAAGUGCAUCAGAAUCAGCACGAGAUAUUCAUCUGUUAGUAGAAGUAUGCAAAAGAAAUUCUAAAAAAGUUCAAGAUGGAGGAAUGCAAGCCCACAACCACACCUAUGAAUCAAAAAGAAAAGUUUUGCAAAGAAGAUGGUGCUGAAAAAGUAAAUGAAGAGUUAUACAGAAGCAUGAUUGGAUGCUUGAUGUAUUUGAUUCCAACAAGGCCAGGUCUACUCUCAUGAUACAUGCAUUGUGCUAGUGAAAUUCACUUGUAGGCAGCAAAACGUAUUGUGAGAUAUAUAAAAGGCACUAUUGACUUUGGCAUUAAGUUCAAGUAGGUGCAGAAUUUUCAUUUUCAUGGAUUUUCUGAUAGUGAUUGGGCUGGCUACGUUGAUGAUAUGAGAAGCACAUCAGGUUAUUGCUUUAGUUUUGGUUCAGGUUUUUUCUCUUAGUGCUCUAAAAAACAGGAUAUCGUGACACAAUCCACAGCUGAAGCAGAGUACAUUGCUACUGCUACUGUUGCAAAUCAAGCACUUUGGAUAAGAAAACUCCUAACAUACUUAAACAUGGAGCAAACUGGGAGCACGCAAGUCUUUGUUGACAGUCAAGCUGCAAUUUCAAUUGCAAGUAAUCCAGUAUUCCAUGGCAAGACAAAGCGCUUCAAAAUCAAGUUUUAUUUCUUAAGAGAAAUACAACAUGAUGGAGAAGUAACUUUGAUACAUUGUAAAACAAAAGUACAAAAUGCUGAUAUUCUAACAAAAGCUCUACUAAGAGCUAGGUUUGAAUUUCUCAGAAAAAGACUUGGAGUUUGUAGCUCCCAAGUCAAGGAGGAGUGUUGAGAAAAAUGCCUUAGUAGCUACAAACAUGCUGGAAGACGUGUGAAAGUUGUUUUUGAAUUGAGGAAGCUUAGGAAUCUGUUAAGAAGGCUGUUGAGGUGUGAAGAGAUGCUGAAAUUGAGGCUGCAACCAUAAAACAACUUAGUCAAUGAACCUGAUAGAGUUUCAUGGAGCUGUUAUGCUGUUGUUGCUAUUUUAUAAGAAAUAGUUGUUAGUUCCAGCUAUUUUUGCUGCUUUUCUAUUGUUUUCUGUUGCAAACUUGUGUAUAAAUGUUGCAUUUAUCAUUCAAUAAGAGUAGACAUUUUCGUUGUCUCAUAUACAACUUUUGGUUGUUGCUUCCAGCACUUCUAGAUUCUAAAAUCAACAACUAGUCAGAGGCAUGUUUCGGUAUCAUUUGGGGUAUAAAUUAAUGGAUUUCAUGUUUCACCUUUAAUUUUCUAUUUCUUAAGUAUUAUAUGCUGUGACUUGUGAUGAUGAUGACUCCUAUCUUCUUUAAUUGCUUAAUCCUUCAUGACCUAUAAGCUAAAGUACAUAGCUGUUGUGGGACAUGGAAAAAAGGCAAAAGCUGGUGUGAUCUUUGUAAUUCAUCACUAGCAAUGUUCUGGAAAAUUCCAAUUAAAGUAAUAUUUGAUCAAUUCUUGCAGAUUAGGUACCCUAGAACUAAGAGCUUGAGCAGACUUGUCUAUUGCAUAAAGAGAGUGAAGAAGCUUAACAUAACGUCCUUCAUUCCUUUUAUUCAGAAUUAGGAAAUUGAAUGAGAACGAAUCAAGUUACAGUAUUCGUCAGGAUGUCAAGAUCUUUCUAAACUUCUGACUCUGCUGAUACAAACAAUGGGAAUUCCUCCAAUGAGAGAAGCACAGGAACAUUGUCAAUUCUAAGAAAAUGAUCCUAGUUUUGAUUUCUGAAUAGGGGACAUGAGAGUGAUCUAAGUGAUCAUCCCAACAGCAACACCAUGUAUACAGAAGACCUAAGAAAGACCAAAACAAGAACAAAAUGACAUCAAAAUUAGGAAAGAAACAAAUGCAUCAAAAUCAUAACAAAGAUGUUAUAUUCUUGUAUCCUUGCCUUUCAAAUGUGACUAAUUGCUAAUCUUUCACUUUAUGCAAGCAGAAGCAUAACAAACACCAUCUCUGGUAAAAUGCUGACUGCCAAACCAAUACAGAGCAACCUCAUUCAAACAUGACCAGACUUGACCAAUUCAGUACUAGAAACAUAGAAGCCAUUGUAGUAGCGUCCUUUCCAUCUCCCUGUUUAAUACCAGUUAAGGUUUUAGGCACUGAAAAAGAAGAACCUUCCUCACUCCACCUUCCAUCCCCAACAACCUUUGAAAUAAUUUUGUUACAAAUUUAAGUAACAAAUCCUUAUUUAUUGAAAAGCAUAAGCCAAAAGAAAACACACCUGUUUCAUUUUGGUUAGGUAUAAGAUAUCACACAUUUUGACCUCAUACAAUCCACAAAAUGAUGUAAGAACAACUUGUAAUUUGCAGAUUACGAAGAGCGUCUCCUUUGUUUUACCCUCAGAAAAUGGACCAAAGCAAUUAAAAUAUUUCUCUAACCAUAAAUGUGCCCAUGUAUGCUUAUGUAAGAGAAAAUCAGAAAUCAGCCUUGCCCAUUCAAAAGGUAAUGUAAUUGAGUCAUGGAGAAUAUAUAAGUGACUUUGUUUGGUAUGAGCUACUUGGGAAGAAAUCUUUGUUCAUUCUUGAUAUCUUUGUUCUUGAUUUGUACCAAACAAACAGAGCAUAAAAUUGACUUUUUGUUAAUCUAUAAUUCUUGAAUAGAGUUGAGAAGUGUAUAAAGAUUCUUAUAAUUGUCCAUGAGUAGAGCUAUUGUGAUUGUCCAAGGGGAGUUGACCUUGGGUGUUGAAAAUUACCAAUGAAAGAGUUGAGGGCAUGUAUCUUGGGUGUUGUCUUCCGUGGGGAGUCAUUGAAGAAAGAUCAUUACCAAAUGUCUAGUGAGAACAUCAUAUUGAAAGCCUGUAGUAAAUAUUAAUAAAUUAGUCCCUAGAAUAGAAUUAGAGGCUCAUGAGUAUAUGGAAUAAGACAAGUCACUCAUUCACUACUACAAAAAUUGUAUACAAUGAUGUUCACUUUCUUGGCGCUUUUAAAAAGUGUCAACAUUUCCAACCUACAAUGGUGCUUGCUAGAAGGUUGGGUAAUAAUAGCGCUUAUUGUAUAAAUUCUUGGCGCUUUAUAAAAGCGUCCUUAAAAAAUUCACUUUUUUAUAUCUAAGACGCUUGGUAAAGUGUCAUUUGUUAACAUAUUAUAUAUACUUCUUUCUGAAAUUUCAUCACACUGCCAAACAUGUCCCCGAACAAAUCAAGUUCCCUUUCAAACCCACCAACACAUAUCGAGCUCUCUUUCACUCUGAGAAGAACUUUCGUGCUACAACCAGAUAUUGAAGACCUACCGGAGAGUGUAUUUCAUGCUGACACCCACACCAGGGGCAGUCUACUAGCAAUUUCUUUGAAACACCUAUGACAACAAAUUGCUCCAUUAUUAAAGUCCAAGAUUCUAGCAAUCGACUAGAAAUCGAACUUACAAUGAGUGGCCAGUGAGCAAAAUCAUUCCUUACAAAAUCUGUAUGAAACAAAUCCACCAUUGCCAAGCUCAUUCUCUUUUAACACAUUUUCAUGGUGAAGACUUUCAAACUUUGUCUAAGGUCAGUAAAUAUUCUCUUCUCAUCCUUUCCACUUGAAGCAUUGAAGUAUUCUUAUAGUUUCUGUCCAACCCUAAUUUCGUUUUUGCUAGCCCUAACUAUUGUUUUACAACUAAUUAAUUAAUUUAUUUUUUAUUGUUCAGCCCUAACUAUUUUACCUUAUACAUACGAUUUGGCUUGAAUAUUUAUGCCAAAGAUGACAUGUUAGGUUAAUGCUCUAAAUUUUCUCUUAUUUUUCUCUAUAUCAUAUAAAACAUCUUAGGAUUUGAAAGAAUUUUAUAGUUUUCUCAGUAUUACUUUAAAUUCUUGAAUUUCCUCUCUAAGGUUUCCUAAUUCAUUUUUUAAGAUUUCAAUAGCAGGAAUUUAAUGCCUAUUUUAACUUUUGAAGCAAGAAAAACUAACUUUGAGUGGCUGGAUUGUUAAUAUUCAGAACUGAAGUCAGACAUGAAACUGAUGUUUGAAAUUUUCAUUUGGUGCCCCAUAUGCUAUAAAGGCAGUGGUUUACAAGGUUGGUUUGUGGUUCAAUGGAAACUUCGUUGGCUUGACUUUAAUAUAUCCUGGAUAGGCAUUUUUCUGUAAGUGUGGUUAUAUUUAGAUAAGGAUUGAUUUGGUGUGAAUGGGUUCACUUCAAAAUUUGUAUAUUUUUGGCUAAACCAAACCAACCAAGCUAUAAUUUUUAUUAUAUUUUAGAACUUGGAUCACUUAAAAUCAAGAAUCUUUAAGAAGAAAAGUUUGAUACCCUGCCAAAUGAUCUUAAAUUCUAAGGAUUUAAGUAGUUAGAAAAAUAAAUGAAUCUUAAGAUGUUUAAUAUUUGAUUAAAGAUAAUGUUAGUUUAAGAAGAAAUAUAUAAUGAUAACAUGCCUUCAUCAUAUAAUUUUGUUGAGAGAAAAAAAAUAUCUACAAAAAGCUAAUAAAAGUGGGGCAGAGAAUAUUAAAAUUUGUGAAUGGAUUGACAUGAUUGGGAACAAUUCUUAGAUUAAUGGUCUUGCUGAAUACAUAAUAAUAUUGGUAGGUAGUGGAAAACAUGCACAACUUGGGUGAGAACAUUAAAUUUGGUAAUAACCCUGCAUCACAAUCCCAAGCAACUCUACAAGGCACAUUAACAAGUGGCACACACUUUGUUUACCCACAAAUCAUGAAAACAUGCUAUAAAACUUCAUUGGAAAAAUCUUUGUUUUUAAUUUUUUUAUGACUUGCGUUUAACCCACUUGAAAUUGCAAUUGUUGAGGAAUCAUGACUUAGUCCUUGUUUAUGAAUACAUUAGAACCAGUUGGUCAACUGCAAUACUUUCACAAAAUGGUUUACAUUUGCCAAGUUCUAAAGUAACAUGAUAAAUUUAAUAUUUUUUUUCCUUUGAUUGAUAAGAUAACAAAAUUUGGUUGAUGUUGUUCAUUAUUAUUUUUUAAAUAUUCUUUUCCCUCAUGGAGGCUUACAGUUGGUUAUUUUUAUUUUUAAUCUCAUUCACAUUUUGUGUUUGUGUACUUACAGUCUGAUGCAUAUUUCAUUAUAGGAAAGAAAUGAAAGUUUGUUAGCUAAGUAGAAGGUUAAAGUUGUUUUUUUUAGAACUUUGAUUUCUGGUUAUUUCAACAAUUCCUAUUCAAUAGUGUGCUUGCCUUUUUCCAAGUUGAAUUUUUCUCUUAGAAAAGCAUACUAGAAAGUUGUAAUGGUUUAAGUACAAAACCUAAGUAGAGAACCUUGCUCUUGUUUUUGUAGUUGAAGAAUCAAAUAAUAGCAGUUUCAUCAUCAAUGAGUUAUCUUACAAUAGCAAGUUGGAGAAAAGAACCAUUAGGUUUGAUUUUAGCUCUUCUACAUCUAUGGUUAGUAGGAGAGAGGUGAGCCCUCAAAAUGAUGGUUGUGAACCUUUGGAGUCUCAAAAUAUGUCUAGGCUUGAAGAUGGUUCUGAUUCUCUGUCAUUUCCUGGCCAAGUUCAAAGUGGGCUCCAAGAGUUAAGUUUCUCUGCAGCAGGGUGUUUAUCAGUUUUGAUCAGUAACCCUGGGUAGAUAGCACAUUCUGGUAACAUCUCUUUGCCAUCAGACCACUAGUACUAGUUCCUUUGCCUUCACCAUGUUAAUCACUUACAAACUAUCUUUUCUAUCAUUUCCACUGUAUUGUCAGCUAACUUCUUAUUUUAAAAACUUUUCUAUCAUUUCAUCCUAACUUAAUUAGAUGUUGUUAAGUUAGUUUAUUUUUAGGACUUUGAUAGUCCCAUGUAAUGUCAACUAACCUCUUAGUUUAAAAUUGUUUCCAUUAUUUUCAUCCUAAAAUGUUGAAUAAGCUAGCGUAUCUUAUAUGUUGCACAACUUCUCCCAAGGGAAUGGAAACAUCAUGAAUAUCACGAGGCUGUCAAAAAUUGGUACAAGCACCUCCUUGAGGUUAAGUGUAUUUUCAAGUAAGAUUUUCAUAUAGAUUUAUAAAUGUUCCUUUAUAUUUUGUUUCUUGGAGAAAAAAAAAACAAAGGAAGGUACGUGUGUUCUUUUAAACUGGUAUUUCAUUGCUUGAGAAAAAACAGAGUAGGCUUGAGAAAAAAGUUGAGGUAUUUCAUUGCCCAGUUUAUAAGUAGUAAGAGGAUUGAAAAAAGGGUGCUCACAUGAAAGUCAUAUGCUUUUCAUGACUUAAUUUAAUUCAUAAGUCUCUGGAAUGGAUUUAAAAGUACACGAGCAUAACCACUUUGUCCUAGCCAUAUAUUUGUUCUGCAAUUAUUUGGGAUAUGUUCCUAGAAAGCAUACUACAAAAAUCUAGUUUAAAAGCCAUUAAGGAAAACAUGCUUAUCCCAAUUAGCUUCAUCAUCUUUCUAUGUUUGUCUCCAUCCUUUAAAAACUAUUUAAAUAAGUGUGAUUUUAUCUUUUUAAUGUUGAUGUGCCUUGUAUAAAUAGGCCUCAACCUGUCAACACUUCUCAAUGGGAAAAUGAUAGGGUUAUAUCUAUUCGAUUUAAUCCUAAAGAACCAGAUGUCUUGGUAGCUUCCAAAUCAAUUACUAGUUUCUUUAUUUACUUAUUUCUUGAUUGUUUUGGGAUAAGAAAUGAGAAAGUUAAUUGAUAAAAUAGAAAAGCAACUAUAAGAAAAGAUAGGAAGCCUUCAAAACAAAGCAACCAAGAAUAAAUUCAAUAAAAACAUAAUACAAAGCAAACAAAGGAGCCAUCCAAAACCACUUAAGGGAGAAGAUGAUCUUCUCUAAAAUUCCCAAUAUUUGACCUCUUUUUGCCAAGAAUUCAACAUCCUAAUUGGCUUACCUAGGAAUUCAACUGUAACUUACCCCUAGAAUCUCUCUCAAGUAAUGACAUACCAUUAAGAACCCUUAUUUAUUGAGGUGGCCCAAGAAUUGACCACUAAAGAAUCUACUCUCAAUAAGCAUGUGUCUGAACCCUAUGGUUCAGGCCUCUUUGAAACUAUGCAUGCAAGAAAUUAUGAUUCAAUAGACUAAGCAUUUCUCUUUGGCUUACAUAUUUCACAAUAAUCACCAGCCCUUCACUGCUACUGUAAGGUAAAUAUUACCAGAAAACCUUUUGCAUUAGGCUUGCAGUUGUACUAAUUACUAACUGAAUCUUAAUUUUGUUGCUAAUAAACUAUAGACAUUGACCAUAUAAUUUAGGAUUACUGAUUGAACUAGCUAAGUAUUCUCCCCAUCUUGAUUAUCAUGAUUCCAAUAUAAAGGAAAUAAUUCAUAGCUCAAAUUUCCCCUUUGAAUCAAUAUGCUCUACUUCAUUUUCACACUAUAGACAGUUUUUUGAUCGAAAAAAAAACUUACCCUCUAUUUUUUUUUUUUUGACCAAAAAAAAAACUAACAUAGGAAUCCUCUAUAAUAAUAAAUAAAAAUAAAAACUUAACAACAAUAGCUGAGGGGCAUGGGAUUCCCAAAAUAAGACUAGUUUGAAACCCCUCUCACAUCAAUUUCUGCCUUUAGGCUUGCUCUGACUAUGGUAGCCUAGAUGUAUGGACUUCCCAAAACAAGACUCUGGAGCACUUGAGAACCUCUCACAUAAAUUUCUGCAUCCAACCUUACCUCACCUUGGAAUUGAGUGAAAGAACAAAACCUCAAACAGUAUCUGACUAGAGCAAAUAUUUUCACAAUGCCAAUAAGAAGAAUGCUCAUUCUUGGUAACUCAAAUUCAUAGGAGUUUGAAACUUUGAAUAUAUAUAGAUGGGAAUCCAUAUGUAUAGAUAGAUAUAGAAACACACACAAAUAUGGACAUGGAAAUGUUGAAGAAUCACUCUUUCUAAUUAAGAAAUUUACAACUACUCUAUCAUUUUACAUUAAUAGCCUCCAGACAAAAUUUUGUUAUUAAAAAAACAUGCAUUAGUUAGAGGAUUUAUACCAUUUCUUUGGCUUUUAACAACUUCUCAGUGGUGGGUGAUUCAACCAUAGUUAUGUCUCAAGUUUCUUAGAAAAUUUAGGCCCUUGGAACUGGGGCAAUUGGUCGUCCUUGUCUUCUGCUGGUUCAGUUGUAUUUUGUUGAUUCAAUUAUAUUGUUAGUUUUCUUCUUUAAGAUAUGGUCAUCCCUUACGUCCUUUUUUUAUCAUUAAUUAAUGGUUUUUGUUGUUCAUGAUCAGAAAGAGAGAAGGAAAAACAAAUAAACAUGGUUUCACACAAAUACUGUUAUGUUUCUCUUAUGGAGCAUUUUAUAUGCUAAUUUUCUUAGUUGAAACCAAAAAUUAUUUGGUAGUUUUAUCAAUUUUAACGUAUUUUCCUUUUCUAAUACAAACUCUAACAUAUAUUUUCUUGUUGCAGACAAGAACUAAUUCCAUUUCUUGGAAUCCAAUGGAACCCAUGAAUUUCACAACUGUAAGCAUAAUAAUUCAACUUAUACAUUUCUCUGUUUUUCUUUUUCCCCACUUCCUGUGGUAGUUUAUCAUUUGUAUUCAAUUUGAUGAUGCACUCUCCUCUAUAGAUGGGUUGUUGCAAUUAAGAUUCAUAAUUUUCUCUCUUUCACUUUGCAUUGCCAAGAACCAAAUGAAAGAGGAAUGAUUAGUUUUAAUAUAAUAUUGUAUUGAUUCCUUCAAAGAAAUUAAGAAUCUAGUAAAACUUUGUUUCAGGAAAUUUUUGAAAGUUCUGUUUUGGAUUUAACUCUUCUAAAUUCUAAGAGUUGUUGAUUCUUGAUGUCAUUCUUUUAAAAAAAUUUCAACCAGUCCCAAGUGAGUUGGCAGAUCAAGAGCAUAGAUAUUGUGAUGCUUUUGUCAAUGACUCAUUGUUCUAUUUUUUUUUUCUCUCCUUUGGACAAAUCGCAUGAUUUUAUUAUGAUAGCACAUAAACUAUUUUAAUUAAAGCAAAUAAUAUUAGGAUGGUACAUAGCUUAGUAAUAUUGGAUUUCAACUUCUAAUGUAAUCAAUGCCAACUGCAUUUCUUUAACAACUAAGGUGCGCAUUUACUUUAUUUUUGUUCCUUUCCUUCAAGGAGACCUAUCUUUUCUUGAAGUCUAGACUAGACAUUAAUUUGACUCUAGAUAGAGUUGAAUGACAGAAAAAAAUUUGUACAAAAGACUUCAAUUUGUUAGAGUUUAAGGCUUGUUUUGCCUAGUUUAUUUAUCUAUUUAUUUGACUAGAAUUAUCAAGUUUAUUUUUUAUCUAUAAUAUUUGUAUGCAUUGAGCCAAAGUAAGAUUCAUGGAUAUUGUUUCGCUGGUCCAAUGAUGAGUACACAUCCUUGCCAUCUUUUAUACGAGACUUGUUUUAAAUAAGUCCGUUUUUUAAUGAAGAUGGAUAAUGUUGUUAGAGGGGUAAGAUGUCGAAGCCCGUUGCUGUCCAAAGACUUGAGAUUCGGAAGAUUAGAUAUGUGAAGAGAGGUAAGUGUGGAGGGCAGUAGGGACUCAUUGGGAAAUGAUUCCAUGUCUUGGCAUCCAUCAUUGAUUGUGAAUUUUGUAAGAGAGGCCAGUCUUUGCAAACCCCAGUCCACCUGAGAUGUGAGUUGGUUGCAGGAUAAAAUUGCAACUUCACGCAGGUCGGAGGGCAAACCAUCUCUCUGAAACAACAAUUCUGGACAAUCUAUUAACCUCAAUUCCUGCAACGAUGAGUGUGUGUGCGCCAGCAACUUCAGCUUCCUGCAACUGGAGAUCUUAUAGCGUGCAGACUCCAGAGCAGGCAAUUCAAUAUAUUCAAGAUCAGGGUACUCUUUGAUUUCCAAACUAUUUAGAGACGUGGGAUCCCCCUCUGAAACGGAGAUGGAGAGGAAUUCAAGCCCUUCGAAAUUAGAGAUGUAGAGAUUGUUCAACCGUGGAAAGAUGCUUAAUGAGAAAGAUAAUGAGAAAUAAUUACGGCUGCUAACAGCAAGAAUAGAUAAAUGUUCAAGGAAUGGAUACGGCAUUCCUUGGUACACUCCCGUUUGGUACACUCCCAGAUAAUUAGUGACUUCAAUGUAGUGGGUAAACCAACACUGUGCAAGGGUCUGGAGAAACGACAACUUGUGAUGCGCAAAAGUUGGAGAAGACAAGUGCUUCUUCGUAGCAUUCCCUCCUCCAAUACCCACUCUAUCGAAUCACAUUCUCUGAUUGUUAGCAUCUGUAUUCGUGGUGGCAGUUCUUCAAAUUGAGAGAUGUCUGAAAUUUCAAUUUCUGAAGUUUCGAGAUCAGUGAACCCACAAGCUGGCCUUUUCAACCGAAAUUUACCAUGAUACGACAUUUUCCAUCCACGGAUUUGAGGAGCUUGGAGGGAGCCAACAAGCAACUCACAACCAAUUAUUACAAGUUUCUUCAAUGAACGAAGCUGUUUUGGUAAUUUCCCAGUGAGUUUGGGACAUUCAUUUAUACAAAGCUCCUGAAGACGAGGGAAUUCUCCACGUCUGCAUCCACAACAUAACCAUUUCUCCCAGUUGUACAUCUUCCCGAAUCUUAGAGUUUGUAGGGACGGGAAGGAGGGCUUAAUUGUGUUGGAGGAAGAAGCAUUUCCCAUAAAAUUCAUUACCCACCAUUUUAACUCCUUUCAUUUCUAAGAUAGAAAGAUGUUUAAGAGAGGGUAGCUGUCCGAGUGGUGGCAAUGACGAGCAAUUAUUACAAUUCUGAAGCCCCAGGUCAACAAGAUUGAAGAAUGAAGGAUCCUACCCAAUCUGGAAGGCUUAAACCACUAAAAGAAUUAAUAUGGAGUCUCUUGAGGUUUGUAUGUGGCUGUAAGCUGCUGAGUAUAUCCAUUCUACUUUGCACAACACCACCAACAUCAGUGUUCUCAUAAUCCAUACUCAAACUCCAACUCAUCAAGGUACUUUUUAUCCUUCAUAUUAGCUUCUAAUGCAUCCCUAUCACAUACAACAUUCUGCAGCUUUGAAAUGACAAGACUUCCCGAAAGCUCCCUCAAUGCUCCCAAUCUUAACCCACCAUUUUGGCCCACAAUAAAUGUAGAAAGUGAUUGUAAAUUCUUUAGCUUACAUAUAUCACUUGUCAUCUCUUUCACCAAAGUUUAACGAAUAUCAAGGUAACGCAAAUUAAUCAAUUUUUCCAUCCUUGAGGGUAAUUCAACAAGACAAUGACAUCCCAAUAACAUCAAUGUUUGUAAAUUGUAUAAAUUACAAACCGAUUCAGACAACAUUUGAAUCCUUGUCAUAGAGAGAUCUAGGUAGCGCAAGUGUUUCAACUUCUCAAUUGAAUGAAGCAAAUCAGUAAUCCAAUAAUAAUUCAAGCACAACACUCGUAAACAUUUCAUUUCCGGCAAUAGAUGGUGUAGAACUCUAUUACUUAAGUAAUGAAGUGAAAAGUAUCGAUAUUUGUUUCUUGGUAAAAAUGUUCGGAGACACUUAAUUUGAGAAAGUGGAUCAAAUCUCUUAUAGACAUCAUAUUUAGUAAUCAAAUAUGAUAAAUGACGAGUUUUCUCCAAGACUCUGUAUAUCUUACCAUCCUCCAAAGAAGUAGAAAAUUCUCCGGAUACCAAUUGUGCCAAGUCAUUAACGAGGUCGUGCAUUACAAAAACAUGACUUAUUUCUUAUUGAAUUUUGGAAAAAUGACUUUGAUAGAAGUUCUUGAAAGUACAAAUUACCUACCUCUUCCAUUCUUUUCUUGUUUUUUGAUUGUUCCAACAAACCUUCUGUCAUCCAUAACAAAACUAGCUUCUCCUUUUUGAAUUUGUAGUCUUUUGGAAAGAUUGAACAAUAAGAAAAACAACGUUUUAGAUGUGAAGGAAGGUAAUAAUAACUCAACCUCAGAGCAGGAAGAACAGCAUCUGUGGGUAAAUCCCAUAAUUCACUAUUUAAUACAUCAUCCCAUUCUCUUGCUUCAACCUUGGAGUGUUGGAGACUCCCCAUUGCUUUUAUAGCCAGCGGUAGACCUUGGCACUUGUGGACAAUCUUUUCUCCGAUUGCUUCUAGUUGUGGAUGCCCACUUGAGUUUCCAUUUUCAAAUGCAAGUUUUUUGAACAGGGACCAACCAUCUUCAGAGGAUAACCCACCUAAACAACGAGUAUGGACUGCACGCAUGGCAAAUGCAACAUUGGUGCUUCGCGUAGUUACAAUAAUCUUGCUUCCCUUUGCCCCGACUAUGAGUGGAGUUUGUAGUGUAUCCCAGUCACAAGAGUCUUCGUUCCAAACAUCAUCCAGUACAAGUAAAAAAUUCUUCAUAUUAAUUCUUUCCUUCAGUUGAACCUGAAGUAGAUUUAGAUCAGUGGUAUUGGACGUGGAUGAAUUGAUUGCCUCGAGAAUUGUUUUCUUAACUCUGAUAGGAUCAAAUUCUUCGGAAACACAAACCCAUGCCUUGAUUUCGAAGUGUUCCUUCACCCUUUGGUCAUUGUAGAGCAGCUGGGCAAGUGUGGUUUUUCCCGUGCCACCCAUGCCGACUAUGGAGAUCACACCCAUCGCAUCAGUACUCCUUGCAUUAUCAGACAGCAACAGUUGAACCAUCUCCUCCUUAAUUUGAGCCCUGCCAUAGACAAGAGAUUCAUCUCCCAAAGAAGUAGAAGGCCACCUUUGUGCCAAUUUCUCACCAACGCCUUCUUUCAACCCGAGGACGUCUCUGUCUUGUGCGAUAUCGUCUAGUCUACCAAUGAUCUCCUCCACCCUAGAGUUUAUGCUUUGAAUAUCAAGUGGAGGAUGAACCCAGGUAGACAUGCUGGUCAGGGUGUCCGCAGCUUCUAUCUUGCAUCGUAGAUCUUCAGUGGCGAUCUCAUCCAAUACAUCCUCAGCAUCAUAGACAACAACUUUGAGCUCAUGCAUCCACUCUUUGACUGCUGGGUUUGUAAUUUGCUUGGCCUCCGCAUCAUUGAGCACAGCAUGGACAGUCGCAGUUUCCUCUUCAACUUCUUGAGGAGUGCAUCAUCGAGCUCGUGUCCCCUGAUGAAUUUCACCACCUCGCGAGAAGCCAACCUGUCAAAUAGAACUUGUAGAGAAGCUGAGAGAAAAGCACCUCCAACCAAAGCCGCAGCCAUGUCUGUUUCUUUGCAAAGGAAGUGAAAGGCGAAUGAGGGAAAAUGAAGGUAAGCAGAUCCAAAAUGGAACCCCCAAACCAGAAAAAGAACAAUUCAGUUGUGUAUUAAGAUCUUUUUUGGCUUUUUUAUCCUCAUAUUCUUUAUGGAUGGGGACUUGUUCCUAAACAUUUGAAGUGAACUGAUCCAUUUUUUACCAUAAUCCUUUGAAUUAAUGAUUCAUCAUGGUAGAGGUCUAGAUGGUUUCUUGAGGUGUGCUCUUUCUUUGUUAAUCUGGGGUUCUAUUUUAUCUUGUGGCAAAAUAAAACAGAUGUGUCCAACCAGUUCGGAAUUAUUUUAAUAUGACUAUCAAAUCUGUGGAUGUGCAAAAGCAUAACCAGGCUCUCCGAGUUCUUUGCCUGGAGGGUUUGCAUUUGUGCUAAACAAAAUGAUUUUUCAUAUCCCCCUAUAAUUGAUGAUCUGUUGGGAUUUGCAUAAUGUUUUGAUAGGCAAAUUAGAUAUAUGUGAAUGAGCGACCUAUCAAAUAGGGCAGUAGGGACGUAAAAUAUUGUGAUUCGAUCAAUCAUGCCUACCUUCAUAGAUACAAGAUAACAUUUCACUAUAUGAUAGAAAAUAUUAUAGAUGAUAUAAAUAAUUACAACUAUUGGAUUUCAAAAUAUUUUACGUUUCCCCACUCUUUGUAUUUUCAUCCUAAAUCAUGAGCUAUUUCACUCCAUCCGGUGUCUCCCACUUUUUCUCGUAUCUACACUCUAAACCGUAAGUCCUCUUACUCUAUCAAAUGUCUCUUACUCCUUUUCACAUCUCUAUCCAUGAUAUAUAAUCUUUGCAAACUUACUUCUAUCAUAUCUCUUCUCAUAAAUUUUUUUAACUUGAUCAUAGCCUAGAAUAUUUAGAGAGAUGCUCCUAUUUGCUUUACUUAUUCUAUAAAGAAUCUAAUUACAAUCACAUAUCAACUUAGGAAAUAUUUUAUAUAAUAUUCCUCUUUGACUGCUGGAUUUGUAAUUUGCUUCGCCUUGGCAUCAAUGAGCAUGACAUGGACAGAUAAUAGUUUUCUCUUCAACUUCUUGAGGAGUGCAUGAUUGAGCUUGUGCACCGUGAUGAAGUUGAGCAACUUGCGAGAAGCCAAGCUAUGAAAUAGAACUUGGAGAGAAGCUUAGCGAAAAGCACCUCCAACCAAAGCCCCAUCCAUGUCUGUUUCUCUGGCAAAAGGAAGUGAAAGAUGAAUCGAGGGAAGAAAAUAAGCACACCCAAGAUGAAACCUCCAAACCAGAAAAGAUCGGUUCAGGUGAAGUUUCCAAUGGUUGAAUGAAUUAUUGGACACCGUGGUAGAGCCCAGACUUCUGCAUUGUUGACAAAACAUCACAGUUCAGUGGUCCAUGAAAUGAAUACAAGGGAGAAAGAAAGAAAGAGAAAGGGGAUGUAAACAAAAGUCAGACAUGCAUAUGUGAACUUACAAAUCCUAUAUCCUUUUAUUAAUAAAACAGUUGAAAAUUUUACCAUAUUUAUAUUAAAUCAUGAUAAGAAUAAAAUGUAAAUUUAUUAAUAUUUUUAUUUUAUUAGUUCGUAAAUUAUAAUAUUUAAUUAUUAAAAAAUAUAUUAUAUGUCAAGAAAAGAAUAAGAUUUAAAAAAAAAAUUACAUGAAUAUUCAAUAUAUUCAUUUAAAAUAAUUAGUGUUAUUAAAAAAACCAUGUUUCAGGGUGAACCUAACCUAUUUUUAAUUUUUCUUUCUAGAAAAGCAUGUUUUUACACAUAAAUUCCAAAGCCAGACAACGACGUGUCUUUGAAUUUUCAAAUAAUUGGGAUCCACUGCUUUCAAUGUUUGAGAAAAUAAUAACAAAAGAUGGAGCUGCCACUUCUAAUGUCUGAGGGUAAAACAUGGAAUCGACUGCUACUUUCACAUUAAAGGGGAAAGCAAAUGGGGGCAUCGUACAUCUAAGAUCUUGUUGAAUAGUAAUCUAAAUUGUCUAUCACUCCAAAGCCGCACAUGAUGGAGGGUAUUAAAAGCAUAAUAUGCAUAUUAAAUUUAAAUCAUAAAAGUUUAAACUUUUAGAAAAAUUGGUUGUUUAACAAGGUCGAUAGCUCAAGUGGUUCUCUGUCAAUUUAAAUGAUGAGAUUGUUCAAUUUUUCAAUGGUAGGAUGAUUAGUUAAUAGUCCAAGAAGUUGAAUUGUCCAAUUGGAUUCUAUUUUCAAAACCUUGACUAUUAAGCAAUCACAUGCAAUUUCUAGAUAGAUUGUGAUUCUUGUAUUAAAGUACAAUAGAAUUGUUAGUGCAUAAAAAAUUUUUAUAUGUAGAUAUUAUCGAACAUUUUCUAACAUUUUCAAAAGUUAUUUUAAGGGAUAAAAUUCUAUUUGAAAAUGAAAAUAUGAAAAAUAGUUUUAUUGGUUUAUUUUUCAUAAAAGUACUAUAAUUCCAAAAGUUUUCAAAGUAUUUUACAUCUUUUCGAUUGUUACUCACAAUUCAAGCAUGCAUAAAAAAUAACUAAAAACAUCUUAAAUUUGUUAUAAAAACUUAUGUUUAGAAUAAAUUCUCAAAAAAAUAUUUUUUUUUCAACAAAAAAAGCUUUAUGAAAAUAAAAAGCUAUUUUCAAGAACCAUUACCAAGCAAGCCUAUGUUGCUGUGGAUGCUUUGGACAAAAUAAGAAAAAAAAGAAAAAAAGGUUUUUUUUUUAAUACUAUUUGAAAUCAUAAAAAGACCAUAACCUUGCAUACAAUAUAUGGGUCAAGGCCUUCUAAAAUAAAUAAUUUAUUUUUAUUUGGUCAUUCAUCACCAUUUUCAUUGAUUGAAAUUAUUUCGUAGACUUGGUUGUUGACUUGGGAAUUCACAUCAACCCAUAUGGACCUCAUAUUCACCUACCAGAGAUGAAUGAAAAUAAAGGCCAAAUAUGAAAGGCAAGUGGUGGUGGUAGGAAGACUCUUAUCAAUAACUUAUAUCAGGUACCGGAGCUUAGGGCAACUGUAGACCAAUGUCAUCCUGAAUCCUAUCAAUCCUUGUUACUGACUGUUGGGGUUGUCACUUAAGAAAAUAUCAAUCAAAUGAUGCAUUCGCAAAUCUAAGUCUCCAACAAGGUUCAAAUUAUUAUUAACAUCACAACCAUUAUUAAACCCAUGUGCAAGCAAGAAGGCUGCUCGUGCGGCUAGGCGUUCACAGGGUUAGCCCAAUUUGUUGAAUCUAUAGUUUAACAUACAGACAUUCGUUUCACAUCAUUUGAUGGCCCUUUAUAGAUUAUCUAUAAAUUCAGAGUACUUAGGAUUUGAAGGCCGCGAAGGGAAAAAGGAUAGUGAUAAAGAACGAACCAUUGUUGGACCUUGAGAAAUAUUUUGUGGGCACACUGUUCCAUCAUUUGGCCUCAACCAAAAUCUUCAACAUGUCAAAGCCAUGUUGUACAAAAUUCCUUACGGGUUAAUAUUUGUCGACACACUUCUGCCAUGAAUAUAUAAGCUGAUGGUAUUAGAGCUCUCCACAUUAUUGAGACAAAUGGGCUCCUGCCUUGAAACAGUUGAAUUUUCCAAGAAAAUGAAAAUUUAUCCUAGUCAAGUUCCAAUGACCCAUCCUUAUAUUUGCUUGCUCAUUUUUCCAUUUUUGCAGUUUAUUCUUUUUCUCCUUAAUUUUCUAAGCACUAAUGGAUGCUAAUCUCAAAUAACGUAAAUGCAGCAUUCUUGUUUGCCAGACAAAUCCUCAUGAGUGAGCUAGCACUAGCCAACCCUGUGGAUAUGGAAAACAUUGUAGUUAGGUGUGGCGAACAAGUCUUAGAGCUCCUGGACCGUUCUGAUGAGGCAGGAAUUGAAGAAAUUGUUGAAAAUUUUCAAGAGAUGGUGAGGAAGCCUCCAACAGCAACAAGCUUCAAGCAAGGAAAGCAGUUAUGAGCAGGAUGUUGGUGAAGAGCCUGCACCCAUGCUUGAGAGAGUACCCCAUCUUGUUUAUUUGGCGGCCAAGAGGAGUGGUGCUUGCAGGGAAUGGCCCUCAAGGAAGAAAAUUAGCAGAAAUGGCACUAUGGCGGAUGGGAGCUGUUGAUCAGACUGAUAUCUUCUUACCGGGUUUCAUUUUCAUUAAAUUAAAUAAAAUGGGGGUAAUUCAUAAUCAUCCGGUUAAGAUUGAUCUAAACCAGUGCCUUUAUCCUUUUUUUAGGUUCAUUAGGGUUCUGAAUUGAAGUAAUAAUAUUAUUGAAUCAUCAGAACUAUUUCGAUAUUUCUUUUUUGGUUCCUAUACAUGGCAUCUUUGUGAAUCCAUACGACUUUCGUUCUUCCCCAUUUCUUUGUUCCGAACCAUUCGUUUCUUUGAAUUCUUCGCUCUUUUUCUUGAUUUCAUCCCUUUUCUAUAUUCAUUCAAUUCAUAGUCAUAGACGAAACGGAAGGACUUCUAUUAGAAAAGUGGUGGCAGCUACUAUAAUAUUAGUGGCAGCAGCCCCAUGGUGUCAGUUAAUUUUCAUGGGCAAUGGUAUACAUAUCUGACUGAUAACAUGUGAUUGGUUUGACCUGAAGAAGAAUGAAGUUAAUUAUAGGGUGGAAAGAAGAAAAUAAUGAACACACCUGUACAUAGUAGUGGCUGUACAUUUAGGAUAUAAAUUAUUGCAGUGUAUGAAGAUAUUAGGAGUUACUAGAUGCAAAGUUGGUUAGAACUAUUGUGAUUGUUCAUAUAUCAAGAUGGUCUGUGUCUUUGCCACUGUCUUCCAAGGGGAGAACCAUGGGGUACUGUUUCAUUGGGAAGAAAGAUCAUUUCCAAAUUUCUAGUGAGAAAAUCAAAUUGAAAGCCUGCAGUGAAUAUCAAUAAAUUGGUCCAUGGAAGAGAAUUUGAGGCUCAUGAGUAUAUAACAAGAGGACAAGUCACUUAUUAUACCUGGAGUGCUGCCUGGCACCAUUUCUUAUGACCAUAGGCAACAACUUUAAAGUUAAUUUGUGUAUAAGGACAUUUGAGACCAAUCUUAAUAUUAAAGAACAAGAUGUUGAACAUCAACAUCUGUCAAGGAUCGGAGUUCAGGGCAAGUAGAUAUGUCCUUAAAGGAUCAGUUAGAUUUCAAUCACAACUGACCUGAAAUUGGCUAGAUCAACACAUAUUUAGAGGUGCUUUGACUUCUUCUAUGUCCCUGCCUUAUAGGGAAGAAAAUAUUUAAAAAUCCACAUAAUCAUUGGUAAGUACAAGAAGACAUUCAACAGACAAAGAUUUUGAAUUUGAGGAACCAAUCUGUCUCUAGAAAAGUAAGGGGAGAAAAAACACUGAUAAACAAAUUUUACAUACCCUUUCCAGAGCAACAAAUCCCCUAAGUUGUAAGUUGAAUCCCACCAACCAGAAAAUCCCCUUGUUCGUCCACUUUAAAGAUCUAGCACGUACACACAUCAAGACUAUUAUAAGAUGCUAGUUUCCCAACAGUUUUUUGUAUCAUGAAGCUCUGAACCAUCUCAACCAAAAGGAUAUUCAUCAAUCUAAGGACAUCCAUCAAUCUAAUAGUUCAUCAUUAUUUGCAAAACACAGCUUUGCAUGAAACAAUGACACCAAACAAUAAAGAGAAAAGGACUACUGAGUCAGACAUCUGUUUUCCAUUGGAGGGGGUGCCUGACUCAAGAAGAUGGAGUUAAAGCGUGAUUGGAAUUGGAAAGGUCAUAACCACCUGAAAGAAAAUAAUCACGAAGACAUGGACAGAUGCACAUAAAAUGUGUGUAUCCAUCAACAAAUGGUUAAUUGAAAGGAAGACAUUAUUUUAAAACCAAAAGAAUUUUGGGUUUCUUAGCUUUGGUAGUAGCAUACCCGCCAUCUUCUUGUUUAAUACAAAUCAUGUUCCUAGCACUAAAACAGGAGCAUCUUCAGGCGCCUUUGCAGAAGCUUUCAGCACCAGUUAAUGAAGGUGACUCAUGAGGGAUGAUCAAAGGGCUGGCUGAGAUAUCUGAAACAGAAGACAUGUUUAUUAUUUGUCUGUGAAUAACUAGUCAGAGGCAUGUUUCGGUAUCAUUUGGGGUAUAAGUGAAUGGAUUUCAUUUUUCACCUUUAAUUUUCUAUUUCUUAUUUAUUAUAUGCUGUGACUUGUGAUGAUGAUGACUCCUAUUGUCUUUAAUUGCUUAAUCCUUCAUGACCCAUAAGCAAAAGUACAUAGUUAUUGCGGGACAAGGAAACAAGGAAAAAGAUGGUGUGAUCCCUGUAAUUCAUCACUAACAGAGUUCUGGAAAUUCCAAUUCAAGUAAUAUUUGAUCAUAUCUUGCAUAUUAGGUACUCUAACUAAGAACUUCAAUGAGAGCCAAGACUUCCUCCAAUGAGAAGAACAGGAACAUUGUCAAUUCUAAGAAAAGGAUCCUGUUUUUGAGUGGGGUACAUGACAGUGAUCUAAGUGAUCAUCCCAACAGCAACACAACGUAUACAGAAGACAUAAGAAAAACCAAAACAAGAACAAAAUGAAAUCAAAAUUAGGAAAGAAAUAAAUGCAGUAAAAUCAUAACAAAGAUGCUAUAUUCCUGUAUCCUUGCCUUUCAAAUGUGGCUAACUGCUGAUCUCUCCCUUUAUGCAAGCAGAAGCACAGUAAACACCAUCUCUGGUAAAAUGCUGACUGCAAAACCAAAACAGAGCAACCUCAGUCAAACAUGACCUAACUUAACCAAUUAAACACCAUCUUCUACUUUCCAUCUCCCUGUUCAAUACCAGUUAAGCUCUCAGGCACUAAAAGAGCAGCAUCUUCCUCACUCCACCUUCCAUCCCCAACAACCUUUGAAAUAAUUUUAUUACAAAUUAAAGCAACAAAUGCCUUAGUUAUCGAAAAGUAUAAGCCCAAAGAAAACAUACCUGUUACUUUCUGGUGGGUAUAAGAUAUCACACAUUUCAGCCUCAUACAACCUACAAAGUGAUGUAAGAACAACUUGUAAUUUGCAGAUUACAAAGAGAGUCUCCCCUGUUGUACCCUCAGAAAAUGGACCAAAGAAAUUAAAAUAUUUCUCUAACCAUAAAUUAGCUAAAAAAAAUGCACCCAUGCACCAGAUGUCACACACAACUGACCUGAACUUGGCAAGAUUGAAAUGGAAUAGUUCCCAAUGACCAGAAUUAAGAGGUGCUUUGAAGUCUUUCUUCUACAAAUACAAGAAGACCUCAAUAUGUUGUAUCAUGACAAUGUACGAGUGAAGGAAGGGGGCACAGUAGAAGAUGGUGGCAUCAAGUCAAAGGAUGAAAUUUGAGUUUGAGGCACUGGGCCAUUCCAGAUCAACACAAAUUGGACUUAAAAUAGAGACCAAAAGAAAUUGAAUGAUAGGCUUUUUGGAGGGAUCCCUUAUUCUAAUUUCAUAAAUUCUUAUAUUCUAAUUCUGUUUCAAAAUCAGAAAUGUAAAAUAAAUUCAUUUAAAUUAUUUAUAGUCACUUGAUAUAUUUCUCCUUAUCAAAACAAAAAUGUGUUUCUCAUAAGAAAUCUUUCAUGUUCUUCCUAGAUACUUAAUAUGAGACGGGAGAGGAGAAACGGUGAUUAACUUGAUAUGGAAGGGAGAAAAGAUACAAUAUCUUGAUUCUAAUUCAACUCCUUUGAAAAAAUAACUUGCAAAAGGCUCCAAAUAAACACCCAUAUAAUUCUAAAUUGUUUUCAUGCAAUGGUUAGAUCUAGAGUGUAUUUGUGAUGCAGGUAAAAUUCCAAGCACAUUUGACCAGAGAUACAAAUAGGCAAUACCUAAGGUAUUUGAAGAUGUACUAGUGUUUAAAUCACUGAUAUUCCAAAGCAAAUACAUAAACCUGCAAAACCUUUUUAGUCUUAAUAUUCAUGUAACUUAGAGGCCAAACAAGGUUAAUAAUGUCAUCAAAUUAAAUCUUUGGUAAUGGUACCUUUUUGUUAGGCAUUGCCUUACAAUAUGGAAAUGUUGCAAUUGUCCUUACAAAAUUGGCCUUUUAAGCGAAAAAUACACCAGCCUCAUAGCACCUGUAGAAUGAUGUGUAAAUGAUUGUAAGUAUGGCAGAAAGUUAAAUCUCCAUUUUUAAGGAUGGAAAAGGGAUCAACAAGUACAAAUCUAAAGUAGGCCACAAAAAAGAAAUAAAGAAAUUAAAAUGUUUAACUGACCAUAAACUACCAGAAAUUCCUCCAUGUUUGCCUGUAUCACAGAAAUAUAUGGAUAAAUUCAGGAAUCACCUCUGCCCAUUAUAAAGGUAAAUUGACCAAGCCAUUGAAAUAUUUCACUCAUCUAUGUUAAAAUGCAAGCACCUAUUGUCAGUCUUCCUCCACACCUCUUCACUUCUUUGUUUUCAGGCUUGUAGCAUAAGAGAAAAUAUCUGAAGUCAAAGGGCAGAAUUCUGCACCCUCAAAUCUCCAACAACAGGGCAGGAAAUAUUGACGCAGGGCAUAUUGUAAAUUUCCAAUGGAAUAGUCUCAGAUGUGUGUGUUUGCUUCUGCCUUUCCAGGGGGAGACUCAUGAAAUAUUGUUUGAUUGGAAAGAUCAUAGUCAUAUAUCAAGAACACAAGUCUCUGAUACGUGGAGGGCUACUUGGCACCUUGUCUGUCUCACCAUAGGCAAUGGAAUCUUACAAGUUUGUGUAUAAGGAGACUUGUGUUAACCUGAGAAACAUCAAUAUGUUACCACAAUAGAAAUGAUUAGAAAUUCAGACGCACAAGUUUGGCUACUUUAAUAAAUUGGCACGUCAGUGUUUCUUUUUUUUUUGGAGUGUAGGACAAGUACCUGACUGACUGUAUGGCACACCCAAGUCUUAAUGUAUGUGGAAUCACCACCUUCAUUAGUCACUAGUAUAGCACACGAUCUAUUACUAUGCGUGGAAUGUGAGCUAUAUAUUCCCAAUCUUGGCCUUUCUCAAAUUGGCACCUAUGCCUCAACAAAGGACAACUCUGGAUUUCCAGGAAAGAGAGCGAGUUUGGCAGUCUCUCGUUUGUCAAGUAUUGGAGAUUAUGGUAGCGGGAGAUAGACAAUGCUUUAAGAGAGGUGAGGUGUUGAAGACCUACUUCUCUCAAGGAUUCAAGCAUAGGGAGUGAGUACAUCUGUAAAUUUUCAAGAGAGGUAAGAUGUUGAAGCCCCUCUUCUCCGAAGGAUUGGAACUUAGGGCACUUGGAGAUGUAUAAUGUUGAUAGAGAGGUAAGAUGUCGAAGCCCGUUGCUGUCCAGAGACUUGAGAUUUGGAAGAUUAGAUAUGUAAAGAGAGGUAAGUGUGGAGGGCAGUAGGGACUCAUUGGGAAAUGAUUCCAUGUCUCGGCAUCCAUCAUUGAUUGUGAAUAUUGUAAGAGAGGCCAGUCUUUGCAAACCCCAAUCCACCUGAGAUGUGAGUUGGUUGCAGGAUGAAAUUUCAAGAUCACGUAGGUCGGAGGGCAAACCAUCUCUCUGAAACAACAAUUCUGGACAAUCUAUUAACCGCAAUUCCUGCAACGAUGAGUGUGUAUGCGCCAGCAACUUCAGCUUCCUACAUCUGGAGAUCUCAUAGCGUGCAGACUCGAGAGCGGGCAAUUCAAUAUAUAUCAGAUCAGGACAGUCUUCGAUAGUUAAAUAAUUAAGAGACGUGGGAUCCCUCUCAGAAACGGAGAUGGAGAGGAAUUCAAACCCUUCAAAAUCAGAGAUGUUGAGACUGUUCAACCGUGGGAAGAUGCUUAAUGAGAAAGAUAAUGAGAAAGAAUUACAGCUGCUAACAUCAGAAAUGGAUAAACGUUUAAGGAAUGGAUGGUGAGAUCUCAAUAGCGCAUGCAGGAGAAACUCCAGUUUGGUACACUUACAGAUAUGGAGUGACUUCAAUGUAGUGGGCAAACCAACACUGUGCAAGGGUCUGGAGAAACGACAACUUGUGAUGUGCAAAUGUUGGAGAAGACAUGUGCUUCUUUGUAGCAUCCCCUCCUCCAAUACCCACUCUAUCGAAUCACAUUCUCUGAUUGUUAGUAUCUGUAUUCGUGGUGGCAGUUCCUCCCAUUGAGAGAUGUGUGAAAUUUCAAUUUCUGAAGUCUGGAGAUUAGUGAACCCACAAGCUGUCCUUUUCAACCGAAAUUUACCAUGAUACGACAUUUUCCAUUCACGGAUUCGAGGAGCUCGGAGGGAGCCCAAAAGCAACUCACAAUCAAUGAUUUCAAGUUUCUUCAAUGAACGAAGCUGUUUUGGUAAUUUCCCAAUGAGUUUGGGACAUUCAUUUAUACAAAGCUUCUGAAGACGAGGGAAUUCUCCACGUCUGCAUCCACAACAUAACCAUUUCUCCCAGUUGUACAUCCUCUCGAACCUUAGAGUUUGUAGGGACGGGAAGGAGGGCUUAAUUGUGUUGGAGGAAGAAGCAUUCCCAUAAAAUUCACUACCCACCAUUUUAACUCCUUUCAUUUGUAAGAUAGAAAGAUGUUUAAGAGAGGGUAGCUGCCCGAGUGGUGGCAAUGACGAGCAAUUGUUACAAUUCUGAAGCCCCAGGUCAACAAGAUUGAAGAAUGAAGGAUCUCCUACCCAAACUGGAAAGCUUAAACCACUAAAAGAAUUAAUAUGGAGUCUCUUGACGUUUGUAUGUGGCUGUAAGCUGCUGAGUAUAUCCCUUCUAUUUUGCACAACACCAACAUCAGUGUUCUCAUUAUCCCACUCAAACUUCAACUCAUCAAGGUACUUUUUAUCCUUCAUAUUGGCUUCUAAUGCAUCCUCAUCACAUGCUACAUUCUCUAGCUUUGAAAGGACAAGACUUCCUGAAAGUUCCCUCAAUGCUCCCAAACUUAACCCACCAUUUUGGCCCACAAUAAAUGUAGAAAGGGAUUGUAAAUUCUUUAGCUUACAUAUAUCACUUGGCAUCUCUUUCACCCCGGUACCAAUAAUAUCAAGGUAACGCAAAUUAAUCAAUUUUUCCAUCCUUAAAGGUAAUUCAAUGAGAAGCACACAAUUUGAUAACAUCAUUGUUUGUAAAUUGUAUAAAUUACAAACUGAUUUAGGCAACUUUUGAAUCAUUGUCGUAGAGAGAUCCAAGUAGCGCAAGUGUUUCAACUUCUCAAUCGAAUGAGGCAAAUCAGUAAUACGAUAAUUAUUCAAACACAACACUCGUAAACAUUUCAUUUCCGGCAAUAGAUGGUGUAGAACUCUAUUACUUAAGUAUUGAUAUGCAAGGUGCCAAUAUUCGCCUCUUGCUAAAAAUGUUCGGAGAUACUUAAUUUGAGAAAGUGGGUCAAAUCUCUCAUAUACAUCAUAUGGACUAAUCAAAUACGAUAAAUGAUGAGUCUUCUCUGAGACUUUGUCCAUCUUACCAUCCUCCAAAGAAAUAGAAAAUUCUCCGGAUACCAAUUGUGCCAAGUCCUUAACAAGGUCAUGCAUUACAAAACAUGACUCAUUGCUAAUUGAAUUUUGAAAAAAUGACUUUGAUAAAAGUUCUUGAAAGUACAAAUUGCCUACCUCCUCCAUUCUUUUCUUGCUUUUUGAUUGUUCCAACAAACCUUCUGCCAUCCAUAACAAAACAAGCUUCUUCUUUUUGAAUUCGUAGUUUUUGGGAAAGAUUGAACAAUAAGAAAAACAACAUUUUAGAUGUGAAGGCAGGUAAUAAUAACUCAACCUCAGAGCAGGAAGAACCGCAUCUGUGGGCAAAUCCCAUAAUUCACUGUUUAAUACAUCAUCCCAUUCUCUUGCUUCAACCUUGGAGUGUAAGAGACUCCCCAUUGCUUUUAUAGCCAGCGGUAGACCUUGGCACUUGUGGACAAUCUUUUCUCCGAUUGCUUCUAGUUGUGGAUGCCCACUUGAGUCUCCAUUUUCAAAUGCAAGUUUUUUGAACAGGGACCAACCAUCUUCAAAGGAUAACCCACCUAAACAAUGAGUAUGGACUGCACGCAUGGCAGAUGCAACCUUGGUGCUUCGCGUAGUUACAAUAAUCUUGCUUCCCUUUGCCCCGACUAUGAGUGGAGUUCGUAGCGCAUCCCAGUCACAAGAGUCUUCGUUCCAAACAUCAUCUAGGACAAGUAGAGAUUUCUUCAUAUUAAUUCUCUCCUUCAGUUGAACCUGAAGUAGAUUUAGAUCAGUGGUAUUGGACGUGGAUGAAUUGAUUGCCUCGAGAAUUGUUUUCGUAACUCUGAUAGGAUCAAAUUCUUCGGAAACACAAACCCAUGCCUUGAGAUCGAAGUGUUUCUUCACCCUUUGGUCAUUGUAGAGCAGCUGGGCAAGUGUGGUUUUGCCUGUGCCACCCAUGCCGACUAUGGAGAUCACACCCAUGGCAUCAGUACUCCUUGCAUUAUCAGACAGCAACAGUUGAACCAUCUUCUCCUUAAUUUGAUCCCUGCCAUAGACAAGAGAUUCAUCUACCAAAGAAGUAGAAGGCCACCUUUGUGCCAAUUUCUCACCAACGCCUUCUUUCAACCCGAGGACGUCUCUGUCUCGUGCCAUAUCUUCUAGUCUAUCAAUGAUCUCCUCCACCCUAGACUCUAUGCCCCGACCAUCAAAUGGAGCGAGAACCCACGUUGACAUGUCCAUGAUGUUACCCACCUGACUUGUGCUGGUUUGGGACUCCGCAGCCUCCACCUUGUGUCGCAAAGCCUCUGUGGCGAUCUCAUCCAAUAUGUCCUCCGCAUCAUACACGACCUCUUUAAGCAAGACCAGCCACUUCUUCACAUAUGGAUUUGUAAACUGUUUGACCUCAGCAUCGUUGAGCACUGCAUGGACGACCAACAACUUCCUUUCCAACUUCUUCAGGAGCACAUCGCUGAGCUUCUGCCCCCGGAUGAAGCUCACAACCUCGCGAGAAGCCAACCUGUCAAAUAGAACUUGGAGAGAAGCUGAGAGAAACGCACCUCCAACUAAAGCCCCUGCCAUUUCUGUUUCUCUUGCAAAGGAAGUGAACGAUGAAUUGAGGGAAGAAGAAAUUACGCAGACCCAAAAUGAAACCUCCAAACCAGAAAAAGAUAGGUUUGUAUAGAGAAAAUGCAACUUGUUGGUAGUAAAAUAACUUUGGAUUCCAAGGUACUUUCGUGGAAGACCCCGUACGUCUGCUUUCUGCCAACAUCAUUGGUCAAUGAUUAAUAGUAUUGUUUCACUGGGCUUUUUUAAUGGUUGGAAAUGAUUUUCAUCCAUUGAGGUGCAAAUUAUAAUUAAUAGACUUGACAUUCACCAUGGUUAUCUUCAAUUUCUUUAGUGGAUUUGAAUACUAAUUCAUGGUGUGGGUCUUUUUUUAUUCUUUAUAAAAUUAUAAUAAAAAUGAUAACAUUUACCGUCCAAGGAUACAAUAUUUUUUAAAUUUCUUUUAUUUGGAUUUUCAAACAUAUACAAUUCAAAGGACAAAAGUAUGGAUGAAUGCACCUUUAAAAAUUCAUCUUAUUGAUAUGAAUCCAAAGGGACACUAGUUUGUAUAUAAGUAUAAAAAACAACUCAAUGCAUACACGAAAGGCACUAUUGGGCCAAAAUUCAAAGAAACAAGAGGAAACAAAUUGGCAAUGGCUUCUAUUAUGGAGAAUGGGAUCUAUGGGAUUUGGGUCAAUGAAUUUCAGAUGGACCCCGGGAAGCCAGGAAGCCUUCUUCACGCUUCCAAUUUUAUAUGAAUUUCCAUUAAAAGCAUUAUGGCCAGUUUGUUUUAAUGUGUUGACAGUCAAAGCAUGUGCCUUGUAACAUUGCGCAGAAUAUAAUAUUUUUCAUUCAGACUGUUCACAACUUGCUAAAAUCAAGAUCUGAUCUCAUACUCUCUCUUAUCUUUUAUUUUAUAAGUAUGAAAUCCAACCCUAUUAUAUUUAAAAUGGGGAGGUUCAAAUAAGUUGAUUGCCACCUUGUAGGUAUGUGACAUGCUAUGAUUGCCACCUGUAAAGAUUCGCCGUCUACUCAUGUACUCAACUGUGACCAAAGAUUCUUGAAGACACUUUUAAAACUUGUAAACGCAUUCAUCAAAAAGUUUAGCAUCUCACAAACCUUUAAAAAACCAAAAAAAAAAUGAUUUCUUUAAAACAGAAUUUCUACAAUGUAAUUAGAUUCUCAAAUUAAUCUCUUAUCUAUGUGAAUACCAAUGUCAUAAAAUGAUAAUCGGUAACUACGAUUUUAAUUUUUUUUUUAAAUGGUUAAAACCAUAAUUGAUAACUAUUGUUUUAAGAUUAAAUUGGAAGAGAUAUUCACCAACUAGGUUUUAUAUAUGUUUUAAAAAAAUUUUAAAGCCUUAGUAAUUAUGGUUUUGUGACAAAAAAAAAUUAAAAAUUAAAAAUUCUCUUGCAAUACGGAUACAUUAGUUUGGGAGCUAUUUUGUUCGAAGGUUUAGUUUGGGAUUUUUUUUAAAAUACAUUAUUUUUGCUCAAAACUCAAAAAUUCAUUUAAAGCGAUUUUUGGAUUAACAUUUGAUAAAGAAUUUUUUAAUUAUUUUUUUGCUAUUAAAAAUACUUUCAAGAUGCUUUUAUAUAUAUAUAUAUAUAUAUUUGAUUCUUAAUAAAAACAUUUAUGAUAUACAUAUUAGGUAAAGUGUUACAAAGACUAGUUUGUUGGUUAUUUGGAAGGACAUUUUGUAUAACAAAGGUGUUUAUGCCUGUUACACUAUAACAAUGUAUUAAUGAAUUAUUCAACUUUGGAUUUCAUUAUUGUGGUGGAUUUGUUUAACAAACUUUAUAAAUCAGUGGACAUUAAAUAAUUUUUUUUUUUUGUCAAAAAAACAAAAUAAAAGCAAAGAGCACCAAGUGGUAAUUAAAUAAUUAAAUAAAUUAAAAGAAAAAUAAAAAGAAGAUAAAAGAAUAGAUAAAGAGCUAAAACUUGUCCUUUACCCAAUUUAAAAUUAUAAUUUAAGUAGAUUCUUAUUUGAAAAAUCAUAACAAAUAUUGAAUUUUCAACUAAUAAUUAAACUUGUCGAAGACAUAAAAAAUUUUAAUAGAUUAAAUUGUGAUUAAAUUAGUCUUCAGAAUCAUAAUUUUUUAAUUCAACAAAAAUUGGGCUUAAAUGGAAUGGGUCAUAUAUAUUAGACACGUAACAUGUAAUUAAAAGAUGACAUGUAAUGAAGUUCAGAGGGUUAUAAAAUUAAAUUUUGUAUAGAAGAGAAUUAUAAAUAAAUAUUCUUUUGUUGAGAAAUUCCCUAAAUAAGGAAAUGAAUUUUCCAAUUGUAGUGAAAAAGGAAUUAGAAAUAAAUGUUUAUGACAGAAAUACCAGUAAAAAGUGUAAUAAGAGUAAGUAUUUAGUUAUUUGAAAGGGCAAUUAGUAUAAAAAGGGGUGAUUAUGUUUGUUUAAUGAUUGCAACAUAAAAUUGAAUUAUUGAACUUUGGGUUCCAUUAUUGUGGUGGGUUCAGUGGACUUUAAAUAAAGUUGAUAAAGGAUUUGAGACACUAGGGCAACAAUAUUUUGUCAAACAAAAAAUAAAGAUCGAGGUUAGUUUAGCUUAUCAAAGAAAAAAAAGACUAAUACGGUGUUUGGUUUUUUGGCUGAAUAAAAAAAGCCAAAUAUUUGGCUUUUUCUAUUCAGCCAAAAAACAAACACCACCUUAGUUAGACAUCAGUUUUCCAUUGAAGGUGGUACCCUAAGAAGAUGGAAUUAAAAAGUGAUUUGAGUUUGAUGCUUUACUUCUUGGUGACAUGAUUCUAAAUUUUCAGGUGCACAAAGACAUUUUUAGAUAUAAGCACUACCUAUCAAAAAAUGUUUAAACCUAUGCCAUUCAUAAAUUAUGAUCCCUCCUAUGUGUCGUUACCGUGCUCAAGAAAACCAUUACUACCCUACUUCCUUUCGCUACCACCAUCCUUAAUAUUUCGAAAUUCUAUCCCAUAUUUUACAAGUAAACAGACCAAUUCCACAUGCUUUCUCACAUUAGUCUGAAUCAUCAACCACUGAAAAGUGAUUAACAUCAAUGAAUCAAAUGUUUAUACAGAAAAAAAAUCUAAUAACCAAUUUAAGAGCAUAACAAUAAACAAUUUGUUCUAAAGGGUACAGAGGAAAUCACAAUUCACCAAUAUGAAUAUGAAAAACAAUAGCAACGCAUCCUCUGCACUUUCAACACUCUUUCCCUCGCAGAGAAACUGAAUGCAAUAAAAUCACAGUAAAGCCACAAGCUUACACAUCAAGAAAAUGUGCAUAAGAAUGUAUGCAUCCAUUAAAAAAAUGUUAGCUUCAAAGUAAGAUAUCAUUUUGCCACCAAAAAGACUUCAAGUUUCUUAGCUUUGAUAGGUGUGUUAGAAUUAGAAGCUGGAUUUGCAGCUGCUGCAACCUUGGUGGCCUCCCGCGCUCUCUCUUAUCAAGCUGAACCAGGCUCGUGUGGCCAAAAUUGCCAAUGGAAGCAAAUCGUGAGAAGCCCUGGCAUACAAACACCUCACUGCCACUGAUGUGGCAUCUUUCACAUCUUGAAAAUUGUGAGGAGCCAACAGACAGUGGCCAAUAAUUUGCUAUGUGGGCUGCAAAAGCUCCCAAGGCAGUGAUCUGAGUGAUCAUCCCAACAGCAACACUAUGUAAGGGUACAUGACAGUGAUCUACGUGAUCAUCCCAAUGGCAACACUACGUAUAUAGAAGACUUAAGAAAAACCAAAGCAAGAACAAGAUGACAUAAGAAUUAGGAAAGAAACAAAUGCAGCAAAUGCAUAAAAAAUAUGUUAUAUUCCUAUAUCCUUGCCUGUUAACUGUGGACUAAUCGGUGAGCUCUCCCUGUAUGCUAGCAGAACAGAGCAACCGCAAUCAAGUAUGAUCUGACUUAACCAAUUCAGUACCAGAAACAUAGAAGAAAUUGUAGUAGUGUACUUGCCAUCUCCCUAUUUGAUGCAAGUUAAAGUUUUCAGGCAUUGAAAGAGCAGCAAUCUUCCUCCCUCCAUCUUCCAUCCCCAACAACCUUUGAAAUAAUUUUAUUACAAAUUAAAGCAACAAAUGCCUUAGUUAUUGAAAAGUAUAAGCCCAAAGAAAACAUGCUUGUUUCUUUUUGGUUACGUAUAAGUUAUCACACAUUUCAAUCUCAUACAACCUACAAAAUGAUGUAUGAACAACUUGUAAUUUGCAGAUUAAAAAGAGUCUCCCCUGUUGUGCCCUCAGAAAAUGGACUGAUGCAGUAAAUGUUGAUAGAUUAGUCUAUGGAACAUAAUUAGAGCCUCAUGAGUAUAUACAAUAAGACAAGUCACAUAUUAUACCCGGAGAGCUGAUUGGCACGGUGUUAUGACCAUAGGCAAUGACAUCUUAAAAAGUUUGUGUAUAGGGAGACUUGAUACCAAAACCAACAAUCCAAUCUUAGUCUUGAAGUACAAGAUGUUGAAGAUCCACUUUUGUCAAGGAUGGAGCUUAGUUGGCAAGAUUGAAAUGAAACAAUUCCCAAUGACUAGAACUUAGAGGCGCUUUGACUUCUACAAAUAGAAGAAGACCUAAAUAUGUUGUAUCAUGACAAUGUAAGGGUGAAGGAAGGGCGCAAAGUAGAAGACAGUGGCAUCAAGCCAUUCCAAAUCAACACAAAUAGGACUUAAAAUAUUAACCAAAACAAAUUGAAUAAUAGGCUCUUUGGAGGAUCCCUUUUUUUAAUUUCAUAAAUUCUCAUAUUCUAAUUCUAUUUCAAAUAAGUCACAAAAAUAAAACUUGAAAACAAAUCAAUAAAUAUUCUUAUAGGGUUUAAGACAUUUUUAAAACUUGAAAACGCAUUCACUAAAAAAUAAAGCAUCAAACCAAGCUUUAAAAAAAAUUUAAAAAUCAAAGUUUUAGGCAAAAAUGAUUUCUUUAAAACAAAAAUUCCACAAAGUAAUUUGAUUCUCAAAAUCAUUUAUAAAUUAGUGUGUCAUAAAACUAUAGUUUUAAUAUUUUUUUUAAAAUGGUCAAAAUUGUAGUUGGUGAUUAUGAUUUUAAACUUAAAUUUAAAAUCAUGAUCAUUAACUACGGUUUUAUAUAUGUUUAAAAAAUUUUCAAAAUUAGUAAAUACAGUUUUGUGACUAAAAAAAAAAAAAGUUCUUAGGCCUUGUGGAUAUUUAAGUAGCUAAGAUGCGUUAGUUUGAGAAUUAUUUUGGUAAGAGGUUUAGUUUGAGAUUUUAUUUUUAUUUUUUAAGAUAUAGUAUUUUUGCUCAAAAUUCAAAAAGUCAUUUAAAGUGAUUUUUGAAUUAAUAUUUGAUAAACAUUUCUUUUAAAAAAUAUUUUUUUGUUAUUAAAAAUACUUUCAAGGUGCUUUUUUUCUUAUUUAUAUUCAAAAUAUUAAUUUUGAUUCUUAAUAAAAAUAUUUAUGAUAGAAAUAUUAGGUACAAGUAUUGCAAAGUGUAGUUUGUUGGUUAUUUGAAAGGACAUUAUAUAUAACAAGGUGUUCAUACUUAUUGUAUUAUUGAAUUAUUGAACUUUGGAUUUCAUUAGUGCGGUGGAUUUGUUUAACAAACAUUAGAAAUCAAUGGACAUUAUGUUGUGAAAAUCAUGAAAAAGAAUAAUAAUAGGGAGAAAAGAAUAAGAAAAAGGAUAACAAAACACACAACGAUUUAUGUGGUUCGACCUUAAGCCUACAUUCACGGGCGAAAACGAAGAACUUUUACCAUGGUUUUAGAAUACCGGAUUGGACCGGCUGAUCCGACUGCCGACUGGUCACUGUUCUGGUCCGGUCCAACCAAUUGGACUGGAAUGGUAUUGAACCGAAGUCGGACCGAACCAGCGGUCCAACCGGUAAACCGGACGAAUCUGCCGGUUCGGAUAUUCGAUUAAAAUUAUUUUUUUCCUCCCAUUGUUGUUGUCCCUCGUUGGCAACACCCCUGUGCUAGAAAAACUUCCCCUUUUUGCCCAUCGAAACCCACCCCCGCGCUAGAAACCCCAUUUUUCCAUGACCCCGUUGGAACCUCCGCCCCCAUCCCCGCUGGAAAAGCUUUCAUUUUUUGCCCUUUGGAACACCCCCACACGACUCCCAGGAACCCCCACCCACACCCUGUGCCGAAAAAGCCAACCCCCUUCUUCCUUCCCCCCAAACCCUCCUCUUAGCAACCCCCACUGGAACCCCCACAUUGGAAAAAGUAUUCCCUUUUUGCCUGACCCUCUCAUCCCUUAUUCCAGGUUGUUUUAUUUUUUUUAAUUAUUUUUUAUCUCAUCUCUAUAUUAUUUAUUUAUUUUUAAAUUUAUUAUUAUUUUACUUCAUGUUUAAAACUUAUGAUUUUAAUUUAAAUUAAUAAAAAAAUUACCAGCUUAAAUCAAUUUCUGAUUUUAAAAUAAGUUUUUUAAUUUAAAAAUGGAUUUUAAAUUUUAAAUUUGAAACUAAUUUUUUGAUUUUCAAAUAAAAUUUUAAUUUUUAAAUAAUGUAUAAAUUAUUAUUUUUAUUUUUAUAAUUAUUUUAAAUUUUAAUAAUUUAUAAAUUAUAUAUUUAUGACGUCAUCGGUUCGAUCGCAGUUCGAUUGUCGGUUCGACCAGUGAACCGUGAACCGAUAACUUUUCCGGUUCUGAAAACAUUGACUUUUACUAUUGUUAAAGGAUAUUACAACUCUUAAAACUCUCAAAUCCUAAAACCCCAAUUUAUACCUAAAAAAAGACUUACUAUUUUGGUCAAAAAUCUCUUCCUAUAUUUUUUCCUAAUUACAAAAGAAGUUUCUAUAUAGGAAACAAAGUGUAUAAUUGUCAAAGAUACCUUUUCCUAAAUAGAAGAUUUCAUAUUAGGAUAUUUCCUAUAAUAAUAGGAAACCCACUUUCAAGAAUAUUUUCUAUUAGGAAACUAUCAAUAACUUUCCAAAUUGACUCAAAAUACAAUUUGAGACACUUUCCAACAAUCUCCAUCUUGGCUCAAAUUCCCAAGAUUAAAAUAAACUUGAAAGUCUUCAAGUUACUUCUCUCCCACAUCCUAUAGGGGUCUUCAGAUACUACUAACACCAAUUAAGUCAAAGCAAUGCUUGAACUUAAUUAUAGGAAUAGACUUAGUCUUCAUAUUUGCAGGAUUGUCCAUUGUAGGGAUUUUUUUUUCAUUACAAUAGCACCAUGUGCAGUCAUAUCCCUAAUAAAAUGCAUUCUGACAUCAAUAUAUUUGGUCCUCUCAUGGAACAUCUAAUUUUUAGUCAAAUGUAUGACACUUUGGCUAUCACAAUACACAACAAUCAACUCUUGUUGUAAGUCUAAAUCACCAACCAAACCUUUAAGCCAAACAACUUUUUUCACUGCUUCUGUGGCUACCAUGUAUUCUACUUCAGUGGUUAACAAAGCAACUAUAGAUUGUAAAGUUGCUUUCCAACUAAUAAUACUACCACAUAAAGUAAAUACAUACCCUGUUAGAGAUUUUCUUUUAUCCCAAUCUUCAUCAUAAUCAAAAUCAACAUAACCAACAAUUUCCCCAAAGAUGUCAAUAUUUUUAUCAUAUACUAAGCCAACAUGUGUGUUCCUCUCAAGUAUCGAAGUAUCCAUUUCACUACUUGCCAAUGGAUAUUUCCAGGGUGAUCCAUAUAUCUACUCACCACACUAACUGCAUGUGAAAUAUCUAGCCUAGUGCAAACCAUGACAUAUAUAAUGCUCCAAACUACACUAGCAUAAGGAACAUGUGACAUGUACUCUCUCUCUUCUUUAGUUUGUGGUAAUAAAGCACUAGAAAGUUUGAAGUGAGCUAUGAAUGGAGUACUCACUAGUUUUGAACCUUGCAUUCCAAAGUGUUUUAAUAUUUUCUCAAUGUACUUUUUAUGUGACAAGUACAAUUUUCCUUCUUUUUAGUCCCUAUGGAUCUCCAUAUCCAAUAUUUUCUUCAUAGCUCUAACGUCUUUUAGUUCAAACUCUUCUUGACGUUAAGUUUUCAAACUGUUGAUCUCAGACAUAUUCUUGCAGGCAAUUAACAUGUCAUCAACAUAUAACAAUAAAUAAAUGAAAGAACCAUCAAACAAUUACUUCUGACAAACACAAUUAUUAUACUCACUUCUAUGGUAGUCAUUACCAAUCAUAAAAGUAUCAAACCUUUUAUACCAUCACCUAGGAGAUUGCUUUAAACUAUAAAGAGAUUUCUUCAAUAAACAAACAUGGUAUUCCUUUCCUAAAAUGAUGAAUCCUUCCGGUUGAUGCAUAUAAAUUUGUUCUUCCAACUCACCAUGUAGAAAAGUAGUCUUGACAUCAAGUUGCUCUUACUGUAAAUUAAAUAAAGUAACCAUAGCAAGUAACACUCUGAUUGAGUUAUGCUUCACAAUCGGAGAAAACACUUCAUUAAAGUCCACACCCUUUUUUUGUGAGUAGCCCUUUGCCACCAAAUGUCUUUAAACCUAGCAUCCUCCACUCCUAGAAUUCCUUCCUUUCUUUUGAAGACCCAUUUGCAACCAACAAUCUUUUGAUUUUUAGGUUUCUCAACUAGUUGCCAAGUAUGGUUCUUUUGAAGAGAUUCUAUCUUCUCAUUCAUAGCAACAAUCCACUAUGUAGACUCUCUACUAAUGAUGGCUUCGUGAUUAGUUUAAGGUUCCUCAUUUGCAAUGCUCUUUGCCACAUUAAGUGCAUAAACAACCAAAUAUGCAUAAGCAUACCUUUGUGGUGGUAUAAUAUGAAUCCUUAUUCUAUCUUUAGCCAAAUAAUAUUGAUGUUCUUGUGGUGCAUUUUCUUUAUCAUUAAAAUGUUGCACUUCUUCCUUCUUUAACUUUAUUGAAAUCGUUUUUUCUAUGGUUUCUAAAGCUUUAGUCACAAACUUCACCAUUUUUUUCUCACAUCAGGGUCGUUUUCUGUAUGAAAUUGCUCCUUUCUAGGACUCAACAUUGCAGACUCAUUAAAAGUCACAUCCCUAUUAAUAAGAAAUUUGGAAAAAUUUAGAUCUGGGCACCAUUACUUAUACCCUUUCACUCCAUCGACAUAUCCUAAGAAUAUGCACUUUCUUGCCCUUGGUUCCAACUUACCUUCAUUCAUAUGAGCAUAAGCAGGACAACAAGAAAUUAUUAAAUUAACAUAAUUAGGAGAACCACACCAUACCUCUUCAGGAGUCCUACAAUUAAUAGGAAUUGAAGGAGAUCUAUUCACAAGAUAUCAAGUUGAAUUUACUACUUUAGCCCAAAAUUCCUUUGACAACUCUACAUUCGAAAGCAUGCAUCGAGCUUGCUCUAAAAGAGUUUUAUUCAUCCGUUCUAUCAACUUUCUUUCACUCAUAUGCCUAAGCCGCAUAUGCCACAAUCUAGUAAUCUUUAUAAUUGAUUUUGAGGUUGAAACUGCAACUGCACCUGUUACCGUGCUACCCUACUAUGUAUAAAGACCAUUAAUUUUCUUUCCGUUCAUCACAACAAGACCACCCUUUGAAACCCUCAAAACUCCACCUCUAGCUUUAUAUAUGCAUCCAUUGGAGUCAAGUGUCCUUAAAAAAAUCAAAUUUUUGUUCAAUUUUGGAACAUGCCUUACAUUAGUUAAUGUCCUUAUAAUGCCACCAUGCAUCUUAAUUUGAAUUGUGUGUAUCCCAACAACCUUACAAGCUACCUUGUUUCCCAUGAGAACUUUCCCACCAUCUAUGGGUUGGUAGGUACUAAAUCAAUCCCCAUUGGGAGACAUAUGAUAGGAGCACCCUGAAUCAAGAAUCCACUCAUCAUCUAAGUUUGUAAUAGUAACUAAAAGAACAUCUGUAGUAUUUGAAUUUUCUUUUGUAAAUGUUGCAUCACCAGAAUUAUAAUUUCUCUUAUUUUCUUUUCCUUUACGAUCUGGACAAUUUUUCACAUAGUGCCCUUCUUUUUUACACUUGAAACAUUUGUUGUUUCCCCUGGACUUUGAUCUAGAUCGACCUCUUCUACCAUUAUUUUUCUUUCUUGUUCUCCCUCUAGCCACCAAACCUUCACCUGAGUCAUAUUUUCUACUUUUGAACACCAUUUUCUUCAACUCCCUUGAGUUCAAGGCUACUCUAACAUCCUUUAUGAAGAGAGUACCUCUACCAUACAUCAUAAUAUCUACGAAGUGCUCAUAAGAAUUUGGUAGGGAACACAUUAAAAAUAUGGCUUGGUCUUCAUAAUUAACUUUAACAUCAAAGUGGUCUUUCAUGGACAUACUUUCUUUCAUCUGAAGAGUGUGCAAUCGCUUCUUUAAAUACAAACGAUUUUUUAGAGACUUCGUCAUGUGCAGACUUUCUAGCUUCAACCAUAACUUGGCAGUUAUAUCUUCUUCUGCAAUCUCACGAAGCACCUUAUUACCCAAACACAAUAGAAUAGCACUAUGUGCUUUCUCCAUAGGUUCAUCAUUCUUUUCAUCAAACAUCAUUGUUGGUAGAGUCUUUAUACCUUUCAAUGCUUUGGACAACCCCUAUUGAACCAAUAAGGCAGGCAUCUUAAUGCGCCACAAAUUGAAAUCGUUUCUUCCAUCAAACUUCCCAACCUCAAACUUUGUCGCCAUUCUAGGUCUAAUAACCUUAGCUUUGAUACCAAUUUGUUGUGCAAAUCACUAGAAAUAAUAAUAAUAAGGAAAAAAGAACAAGAAAAAAGAAAACAAUACACAACGAUUUACGUGGUUCGACCUUAAGCCUAUAUUCACAGGCAAAGAUGAAGAAAAACUUUUACUAUUGUUAAAAGAGAUUACAAUUCUUGAAGUUCUCAAAUCUCAAAGCCUCAAUUUAUACCCAAAAAGAGACUUACUAUUUUGGUCAAAAAUCUCUUCUUAUAUUUUUUCCUAAUUACAAAGGAAGUUUCUAUAUAGGAAACAAAGUGUAUAAUUGUCAAAGAUACCUUUUCCUAAAUAGAAGAUAUCAUAUUAGGAUAUUUCCUAUAAUAAUAGGAAACCCACUUUCAAGAAUAUCUUUUAUUAGGAAACUAUCAAUAACUUUCAAAAUUAACUCAAAAUAUCAUUUGAGACACUUUCCAACACAUUGAAUAAUUUUUUUUUUCAAAAAAAGAAAGACAAAAGCAAAGAGCACCAAGUGGUAAUUAAAUAAAUAAAAAUAAAAAUAAAAGAAGAUAAAAGAAUAGAUAAAGAGCUAAACUUGUUCUCAGACUAGAUUUAAAAAUAUAAUUUAAGUAGAUUCUUAUUUGAAAAAUUGUAAGAAAGCUUAACGUUUGAAGUACAAUAGUAAAUUUCCAAUUGAUAAUUAGAACAUGUUGUAGAGAUCAAAAUUUUUAGUAGAUUAAAUUGCGACUAAAUUAGUCUUUAAAAUCAUGGUUUUUAAUUCAACAAAAAUUAGGCUUAUAUGGAAUGGGUUAUAUGUAUUAGACACGUGGCAUGUAAUUAAAAGAUGACAUGUAACAAAAUUCAGAAGGUUAUAAAACUAAGCUUUGUAUAAGAGAGAAUUAUAAAUAAAUAUUCCCUUGUUGGCAAAUUCCCUAAAUAAGGAAAUAAAUUUUCCAAUUUAUGUUAAAAGAGAAUUAUAAAUAAAUAGUCUCUUGUUGGCAAAAGAAUAAGAAAAGUUACUAAAAUCAAGAAACCAAAUUCUUUGAAUUAAACAAUUAAAUCUAUAGGAAUCAAAAUUCAAUUUUCUAUUUCCAUCUAUAAAUAAUGGCUACUGCCUUCAAAGAAGAGGAUAGGAAAAAUAAUUUCACAUAGGAAAAUAAAAUCUACGACAAGAAAAAGGUUUCUUAAAAUAUCCUUACAAGUUUGAGAAAUCGAAUAAGUUUUGUAGACACAUUCUUCAUUAUUCAAUGAAUUCAUUCAAGAAGUCAAUAUAAGCCUUCGAUUGAUUUUAAAAUCAGGAAAACACUUUCAUCGUCAUCUUUUGAAUUGUGAUUAAAGUGAAUGAAUCAAAGAAAAAAAAUUCUUUAUAAAGAAUAUUAUCACAAAAAUUGUAUUCUACAAUUAUUUUAUCCUAUAAUUAUUUUAAUACAAAGUUUUGUUUGCAUAUUUAUUUUUUCUAUAGUUUGGCUUAUUUUGCAAGACUUUUCAAAAUCUAUGCAUACAAAUUUCUAGCCAUUAAGAUGGGAUAUCUUUGUCUCUCAUCUUUUUUAGUAAAAAAAUUGAUCACUAUUAAGACGAUCACAUAAAAAAAAGGCUCAAACUAUGUAUGUUAACAAGGACUAGAACAAGAUUGUUAUUGGACCCUUCUAAAGAGGCAUGAAUUGAAGAAAUUGUUGAAAUGAUGAGUAGAUUUUCAAAGGAUUGUGAGGAAGCCUCCAACAUCGACAAGCUUCAAGCGAGGAAAGCAGUUAUGAGUAGGAUGUUGGUGAAGAGCCUGCAAGUUGGGGAUGCUGUGUUUGAGAGAAUAUCCCAUGCUGUUUAUUUGGCUGCAAGAGGAGUAGUGCUUGUAGGGAAUGGCCCUCAAGGAAGAAAAUUAGCAGAAAUGGCACUCC
rnacentral:lncRNA from 1 species